rnacentral:lncRNA from 1 species
UCUAAAUUUUUCUAAAAUUGAGAUCUACAUGUUAAAAAUAUCCACAUGUACUGUUCAUGCUUGUUUAUGUGCUGUUUUGGUGAUUUUGCUCUUUUCUGCUUAGAUUCCGUCGUUUCCGGAGAGUCCGUUUUCGUCGGAGAAGAGUUUGAAGAGUUCCAAGGCCAGCAAGGCAAGUCACACAGAUCCCAAACAACCCUUUGAGCAUGUUGAUCCUAUUUAAAGCUAUUGUUUCUAUUCAACUAUUGCAUUUAUUUUCGAAUGUCAUUGGGUGGAAUUAACCUAUUCAUUGUUAUAGCCCUUUUGUUCUUGAUUACUUUAUUCCUUGAUACCUUGGGUUAUUAUAAUUUGACUAGUUGAGCUUUAUGUAUAUUGGUUCAACUAGAUAUUAGAUAUAAUUGCUUAGCCCUGCUUAGAAACAUUAGCACACUUAUGGGAUAACUUAUGACUCACUAUUAUUUAAUGAUGGCUUAAUGAUAGUUCACGAUGGACAAUCGUGAUUGGUUAAUUAACUAAUGUGCCAACUAAAACCUGGUAAUGGUGGGUUGUGAGCACAUGGUUUUGAUGGUCGUGCUCAUGACAAUUAAGGACCGGUUCACGAGUUUCGGUUGUGAAACAUUUAUCGUGCCAACCACAAGCCAGCAUGGGCAACGGCUUUAUCUUUUGUAUAGCAUGGUUCAUUGCGGGGCACCAGACUGAGAAGUGGCGGAGAUAAGCCCACGGGGGUCGCUGGGGAGUCCAUGCCUUGUUUAUAAGGGGGUGAUUAUGAUCCAGGAAGGUGCGCUGCAGUGGAUUGUGUUGUAUGAGGGGUAUUGUCACAACUCCUAUCCGAGGUACCGUGGUGGUAUUGAGGCACAUGGUGACAUGAUGUGGGGUUGUGUCUUGUGGGUACAGUGGUACACCUCUGAUCAGAGUAAAACUAUUCGAAUAGCCGUGCCCGCGGUUAUGGGCGGGUCUAACAAUGUCUUUCGUGAUUAGUCUCACACUUCUCACCAUAGUAAAUGAUGCUUAAAUUGGUAAUAAUUUGAUUAGCUCCUGGUUUGGAAUGGUACAUUCCUGGUUUGGAGAUAGACCUGUGCAGCCGGGAUGGUUGUUCAGAAUGGAUGGGCCUAUAUAACAGGGUAUGUUGUAUAGCGUUGGAUUAAUAUUGCUUAAUUAAUACUUAACUGUUUUAUUAAAUUCUCAAAUGUUUGCUAAAUGCUGCUUUUGCAAAUGGAUCCCUAUUACGCCAUCCUUUGUUAUCCUGUGCACUUGCAUAUUUGCUGCGUGACUUGCUGAGUAUGUGAUAUACUCACCUUGCAAUCAUUCAUCGGAGGAAGAGUUCUACAAUGAGGCUGAUGCUGUGGAGGAUUAGGUGUAGCCUUGGUCAAGCUGCCUGUGGAGUGGAGCCGUCUGCGCCGUUUAUUUAUUUUCCGCUGCUUAGAUCUUUAUUGAUUGAGAGGAACUAUCUACCUCUGUAAUGACAUUUUAUUCGCUUAUUAAUUAGAGUAAUAAUUGUACUCUAUUAUCAAUUUGUUAUUGUGCCUCGGCUGAUUCCUGGACGAGGGUUCACACACAUGUAAGCGUUUGGAAUUUUGGAUAGAAAUUCCGGGCGUGACAAAAUCGACGAGGAGCUGCGGCAAUGCUGCGACGAUUGCAACCUUCGGUCUCCUUUGGCGUGCAGACUGCUUGACAAACCUGUAAUCCCCUUCGGUCACCUCCACAGAAACUGCACAAAUUGGAGAUUUGAUAUUGAGCCGUAGAUUUUGGUGUAGGCUUCACCGGGCUCAACCAGAAUUCACCAUGGAGUUCGUCGUUGUAUCUGAGGAGCUUGAGCUCAAUCCGAACAACAAACUGUGGAGAUUAUGGAUACCCCAUAUCUACACGGCGGUUAUAUUUAGACUGGUAAUAGGAUACCGAAUAUAGAUAUAAUAUCUUUAUUUGUAUCUCGGGUUUGUUUCUUAACUUGUACGUCAAGGAAAUACCCUGAGGUUUAGUCGGUUACGAUUGUAUUUUAUCUGUAUUCUCGUAUUCUGUUAGGGGUAUGAGUUAUACCUUAUAAUACGGACUCCUUCCUCUAUAUAAGGAGGGGUCCGAGUCCUUCCUGGGACAUCAAUUUUCUAGGAGAUCUUACAUUCAAUAAUACACUCGGUGGUUUCAUCCCCGGACAGGAGUAGGGUAUUACUUCUUGAAUAAGAAGGCCUGAACCUGUAUAAAUCCUUUGUCUCCAAACCCAUCCACUUUUCCAGCUUGAUAGCCACCCCCUUUUAGUAUUGCCGAAAUCUUGUUUCGACAGUUGGCGCGCCAGGUAGGGGUUGCGUCAAGCUUUUCGCCGAUCAGUGCAAUGGGUUCCGUCUCCGGCAUCGACGACCUCGUCUUCCCACCCGGGCAGGCGUUUCGGUUCGGCAGCCUCGAGUUCAUCACCAAUGACUUCGGCAAGAUCUCUCUCCUCGAUUCGGAAUUGGACCAGUCGGGAGAGAGCCGGAUCUCGGUCCCGUUUGGAGUUCCUAACGCGGCUGAAAUAUACUCCAAGUCCAUCUCAAUCGAGUCGGCUUCAAACCACUCGGACGAGAUCGCAUCUUCUCCAACGUCAUCAGAUCGAGAUGAUGGGGCUUACCCACCGAUUCUAAUGAAGCUCCCCGACGAUUUGGCGGCCGUCUUCACCACCAUGACGUCCCCAUCCCGUAGGCCUAGGCGGAGGUCGGCUUCAACACCGAUAUCGCAUAGCUCCAGGGAAGUUGGCGUCAUCUUCCAGCCACUCGGCUCAGUUUCGACGGACCAGCUGGAUGGCUACUGGAGCUCUCCCGCCGUCGACUCGCGUCCGACCGAGAUCGUGGACUACAAUGAGUUCGGCUUUCACAACAACGACCCAGAUCUCGACGACUUCGAUGAAAGCUUAGAAGACAACUACACCCCUCUCUAUUUCGGCGUCUUUAUGGCCGAUAACGAGACGGAGGAGCAACGCCAAGCCCGGGAAACCGAAGCACGACGCGAGGCCGAGCGGCGCCGACUGGAGGAGGAACGUGAAGCACAAGAACAAGAACGGCUACGGCGUGAGCAACAGGAGCGUGAGCGGGCCGCAAAGGAGGCUGAAGACCGGCGGCUACGAGCCUUGGAAGCAGGGCACCGAGCGCGAGAUCUUAUCGGCCAACAAGACGUUGAGGGGACACCGGUUUUCCGCACCCCACAACAGAAUGCUGUUGCCGCGAUCACCCUCCUCGACACCCUCCUCAAGGAGAACGAGCUCAAUCAGUCUGACCACGUCGUCAACAUCUUGAACCAGACCAAGACCAUGAUUGCGGCUUCGGUCCCAGUUAACUCCGGAAGCGUCCGCACGUCGAGUGGCAGCUGAGUCCCCCAUCUUCGAUCUCACGACUACCACCAGCCAAGCCUUAGCAUCACUGGCGCAGGAUCUAAUCGCAGGAGCAGGGGUCACGACGAGUGAUCUGUCCACUCGCCUCCCGACCAUCAUAGGGAGCGCCGAGUGGAAUGACCUCGUUCGCCACCUCGUCGUCGCCCCGUCGAUCUUUGCGACACGAUCAUACAGCGCCGGGCAGCCCGAGGCCAUCAUCAUUCGCUAGAUCGCCACGACGACGACCUAGACGGAGUUGCCGCUUUCACCAACGACCUGCGUCGAGUGGAUUGGCCAGCCGGCUUUAAGCCGACUGGAAUAGAGAAGUAUGACGGUUCCACCAACCCGGAAUCAUGGCUUACCGUCUACGGUCUCGCAAUCCGCGCAGCAGGAGGAGAUAGCAAGGCCUUGGCGAACUAUUUACCAGUGGCUUUAGCAGAUUCCGCCCGGUCCUGGCUCCAUGGAUUGCCCCGUGGUACAAUCGGAUCUUGGGCCGAAUUACGCGACCACUUCAUCGCCAACUUCCAAGGCACUUUCGAGCGCCCCGGCACACAAUUCGAUCUUUACAAUGUUAUUCAGAAGUCCGGAGAAUCUCUUCGAGAUUACAUCCGGCGAUUUUCUGAACAAUGCAACAAGAUCUCUGACAUCACCGACGAUGUUAUCAUCGCCGCAUUCACCAAAGGAAUUCGCCACGAAGAAUUGGUCGGCAAGUUCGGGCGUAAGCCUCCCAAAACAGUCAAACUUAUGUUUGAAAAAGCCAACGAGUACGCCAAGGCUGAAGACGCCGUCAUCGCAUCAAAGCAGUCGGGCUCCAGUUGGAAGCCAAAAAAGGAUACACCGGCUACGGGAGGGGGUGGAAGAUCAUCAAAGCGUUCGCGCGUCAACACGUUCGACAAGAUCAUGAACUCCCAAUGCCCGCAUCAUCCUAAGUCCAACCACGCGGCCAAAGAUUGUUUCGUCUACAAGCAGUUCGCGGAACAAUACACCAAGACUACACGGAAGAACUCCGACGAAAAACAAAGCACGUCGAAGAAGAAGGACGAUGGCGACCCCCCGGCAGGUUUCUAAGACCACCGCAAGGAGCUUAACCACAUCUUCGGCGGCCCCUUGGCUUAUGAAUCUAAAAGAAAGCAAAAGUUGACUGAACGGGAGAUUAACGCUGUUCAGCCCAACAUACCCCAAUAUCUUCGAUGGUCAGAGACAGCAAUCAAGUUUGACCGCUCGGAUCAUCCCGACCGAGUGGUCCACCCGGGGCGAUACCCACUGGUACUAGACCCAGUGGUCCGUAAUGUCAAGCUUCGCAGAACCCUCAUCGACGGUGGCAGUGCACUAAAUAUCCUCUUCGCCAAAACCCUGGAUGAUAUGCAGAUUCCUCGCUCCGAGUUAAGACCAAGCAAUGCGCCUUUUCACGGAGUCAUCCCAGGGUUAUCUGCAACUCCACUCGGCCAGAUCACCCUUCCGGUCACCUUUGGCACUCGGGAAAACUUCCGCACGGAGAAUAUCUGCUUCGAAGUCGCCGAUUUCGAGACAGCAUACCACGCCAUACUCGGACGUCUGGCGUUAGCCAAGUUCAUGGCCGUCCCGCACUACACUUACAUGAUGAUGAAGAUGCCCGGUCCCCGAGGAGUCCUAUCCCUACGGAGCGACAUCAAGCAAGCCGUCACAUGCGAUAAGGAAAGUUGCGAGAUGGCCCAGACUCGCGAGAUGGCGUCUGCCCGAGAAGAUAUCCGACUGGCUGCGACCACGGCAGGCGAAGGAGAAGUGCCUGCGACCAAGGUCUCGAAGAGCGGAGAAAGCGAUGCUAAGACUAAAAAGAUUCCCCUAGAUCCUUCUGAUCCCACUAAAACUGCUGUAAUAGGCGCCGAGUUAGAUUGUAAAUAGGAAAGCGCGCUCGUCACCUUUCUUCAAAAUAAUAAAGAUAUCUUUGCGUGGAAACCAUCUGAUAUGCCUGAUAUUCCUAGAGAGGUGAUUGAGCACUCCUUGCACGUCAAAGAAGACGCUAAACCUAUUAAACAACGACUCCGCCGCUUCGCACAAGACAAGAAGGAUGCGAUCAAGGAGGUAUUAACCAAGCUGUUAGCAGCAGGCUUCAUUAAAGAAGUCCUUUAUCCCGACUGGCUGGCUAACCCGGUCCUAGUUCGGAAGAAAACUGGGCAAUGACGUAUGUGUGUCGAUUAUACCGACCUCAACAAGUCUUGCCCUAAAGAUCCUUUUGGGUUGCCUCGCAUUGACCAGGUAGUCGAUUCGACCGCCGGCUGCGAGCUACUCAGUUUUUUGGAUUGCUACUCGGGGUAUCAUCAGAUCCGACUGAAGGAAUCCGACUGCUUGAAGACUUCAUUCAUCACGCCCUUCGGGGCCUAUUGCUACAUCACCAUGCCAUUCGGACUAAAAAAUGCAGGAGCAACUUAUCAACGCAUGAUUCAGAGAUGCUUCUCGACGCAAAUUGGCCGCAAUGUCGAAGCUUACGUGGAUGAUGUAGUUGUCAAGACUAAGCAGAAGGAUGAUUUAAUCUCGGACCUAGAAGAAACCUUCGCAAGCAUCCGCGCUUUCAGGAUGAAACUAAACCCUGAAAAGUGCACCUUCGGAGUACCGUCAGGGAAGCUGCUUGGUUUUAUGGUGUCUCAUAGAGGCAUACAAGCCAACCCGGAGAAAGUCAACGCUAUCCUCAACAUGAAACCGCCAAGCUCCCAGAAAGACGUCCAGAAGCUGACUGGAUGCAUGGCGGCGCUCAGCCGAUUCGUUUCACGACUUGGCGAGCGGGGGAUGCCCUUCUUCAAGAUAUUAAAGAAAACAGACAAUUUCCAGUGGGGACCCGAAGCACAGAAGGCUUUCGAAGACUUCAAGAAACUCCUCACCGAGCCACCAGUCUUAGCCUCGCCACACCUACAGGAGCCGUUGCUACUAUACGUAUCAGCCACCUCCCAGGUUGUGAGUACAGUCUUGGUCGUCGAACGUGAGGAAGAAGCCCAUGUCCAAAAAGUCCAGCGACCGAUCUACUUUGUCAGCGAGGUCCUAGCCGACUCCAAAACGAGAUAUCCUCAGGUUCAGAAGCUGUUAUACGGUAUUCUGAUUACUACCAGGAAAUUAUCCCACUACUUCCACGGUCACUCGGUAACGGUGGUUACAUCGUUUCCGCUCGGCGAUAUACUGCACAACCGCGAAGCAAACGGACGGAUUGCUAAAUGGGAUUUGGAGUUGAUGUCUUUGGACAUAUCCUUCAAGCCCCGAACCUCAAUCAAGUCCCAAGCAUUAGCCGACUUCGUCGCCGAAUGGACCGAGUGCCAGGAGGAUAUUCCCGCAGAAAAGAUGGAGCACUGGACCAUGCAUUUUGACGGAUCAAAAAGGCUUUCGGGCACUAGAGCGGGAGUGGUUCUAAUUUCCCCAACCGAAGAAAGAUUAAGUUAUGUGCUUUGGAUACAUUUUUCCACAUCCCACAACGUCGCAGAGUAUGAGGUGCUCCUCCAUGGACUACGGAUCGUGAUUUCCCUAGGGAUCAAGCGUCUAAUAGUUCGAGGGGAUUCACAGCUAGUCGUCAACCAAGUUAUGAAAGAGUGGUCCUGCAUUGACGACAACAUGACAGCAUAUCGACAAGAGGUACGCAAAUUGGAAGACAAGUUCGAUGGACUCGAGCUUAGUCACGUUCUCCGACACAAUAACGAAGCCGCCGAUAGACUUGCCAACUUUGGAUCCAAGCGCGAGGUGGCCCCCUCCGAUGUAUUCGUCGAACACCUUUAUGAGCCGACCGUACCUCAGAAAGAAACAACUCAAGUUGCGGACACUCAAGACAUAGCCAUGAUUGAAGCCGACUGGAGAGAGCCCCUCAUACGAUUUUUAACUUCUCAAGAACUCCCUCAAGAUAAAGAUGAAGCCGAGCGGAUUUCAAGGCGAAGUAGGCUUUAUGUUAUUCAUGAAACCGAGUUAUACAAGAAAAGACCUUCAGGAAUUCUGCAACGCUGCGUAUCUCUAGAGGAAGGGAGACAAUUGUUGAAAGACAUACAUUCUGGAAUAUGCGGAAACCAUGCCGCCGCACGCACCAUUGUCGGCAAAGCUUACCGGCAGGGUUUUUUCUGGCCUACUGCAGUAUCCGACACCGACAAAAUUGUGCACACGUGCGAAGGUUGCCAAUUUUUCGCCAGACAAAUCCAUCUACCAUCUCAAGAGUUCCAAACAAUCCCACUGUCUUGGCCGUUUGCGGUUUGGGGGCUCGACAUGGUUGGCCCGUUCAAAAAGGCAGUCGGCGGUUACACGCAUCUCUUUGUGGCCAUUGACAAAUUCUCCAAGUGGAUUGAAGCUAAACGGGUUGUCACAAUCACAGCAGAUAAAGCUCGAGAUUUCUUCAUCAACAUUGUGCAUAGGUUUGGAGUGCCUAAUCGGAUUAUCACCGAUAAUGGCACACAAUUCACUCGCGGAGUUUUUAACGACUUUUGCGAAGACUUCGGAAUUAAAAUUUGCUAUGCCUCAGUAGCGCACCCGAUGAGCAACGGACAGGUCGAACGAGCCAACGGCAUGAUACUUCAAGGGAUAAAAGCGCGAGUUUUUGACCGGCUAAAACCCUAUGCUGGAAAAUGGGUGGAACAGCUGCCAUCAGUACUUUGGUCUUUGCGUACUACACCUAGUCGGGCCACAGGCCAGUCACCUUUUUUCCUUGUCUACGGGGCAGAAGCAAUAUUGCCUAGUGAAGUUGAAUUCGAAUCUUUGCGCUUUCACAAUUUUCGCGAAGAACGCUACGAAGAGGACCGAGUGAAUGAUCUGCACCGAUUGGAAGAAAUCCGCGAAGCAGCUUUAAUUCAGUCGGCCCGAUAUUUACAAGGGUUGCGACGCUAUCAUAAUCGCAACGUUCGAUCACGAGCUUUUCUAGUCGGCGACCUGGUUUUGAGGAAAAUCUGUCACGACCGGGAAAAUUGCCUUUUCCCGAACGCUAGUGUAUUAAUCCCCGUCCCAGGAAAAGCCGGGGUACACCACACAAACAUGAUAUAAAAGACACAUCUUUAUUAUAUCGAUAAUAUUUACAUUAUUACAAAGGCGCUUCAGGCCUGACAAUCAAAAAUAAACAGCAGCGGACUAGCGGGCCUACGGCUCCAUCUCCACAGGCGCUCAACUGGGGUAUAAGCCAGGACUCCACCUAAGACAUCUUCUCCAAAGCUUCUCUUACUGAAGAGGGGAAAGAUUGAGCAAGAAUGAGUACAACCACAGUACUCAGCAAGUCACACCGGCAGAUGCAUGAUUAAUGCAAGGGGGGGUACAAGGGGAUAAUAAUAUCGGGGUUAAGUUUUGCAGAAAACAGCAUUUAAAAGUCACUUAGUUGCCCAAAGCCAUUUUAUAAAGACGAUCCUAGAGUUACACAGUAUUAUUAAACAAGGCCGUGAACCCUCACGAACCUGCCUUAACCCAAGGCCUACGAUGAUUCAGACCGAACUGGCAACCCGACCCUGGGUCCCAGCUCGUCCCAAGCCAACCCAGGCCAACCAUUCCACAUUUUAGUUGUUGAGCAAAUUUUAAGAAUUAAAACACUGACUUGGGUACAUUGCUCGGCUUGCCCAUAACCGAGGGCGCGGCUAUUCGAAUAGAUUAUACUCUGAUCAGAGGUGUACAUCUUUACCCACAAGACACAUCUUCCUCACGUGCAACCACGUGCCACAUACCACCACGGUAUACAGACGGAAGAUAUGACAUAGUUUCCAACCCAUCCUAGCCAUAGACAAGAGUACCGACCCAAUCCCACCUACGGCCGGAACCUCCGGGACAGGCAGGCAGGACUGAGCCCCUAGCAGCAGGGCACCAACCCUGUGCCAUGACAUCUCGACUACCGGGCCGCAGCUCGUGUAGCCUUCAUUUGUCCUAGAGAAUGUCCAUCGACCCCCGACUUCAUCCAUCUCCAUCCGUGUACUUUUGUUUAUGACCAGACUGAGCCACAAACUAAGCCUUACCCACUAGACAUGUGGAAGUACGGUAGUGCUUUGCAACAGAGGCCCGAGCUUAAUCCUUAUAGUGGCCGGGGUGCUACUUCCCACAACUGGCAUGCACCCAAACCCCACCGAAAACAGGUUUUAGGGGUUUUGAAAGAGGAAGAGAGGUGUAUGUCCAAUUCCACCAUAAACCAACAAUUCCAUAGUAUCCAAAUGAUAUGAGAAUUCCCAACGUCUAAAGUUGUAAAACCACCUAAUAUUGCCUAAUUAAUCAGCGAAGCAUCUACCUAAAUUCAUACUAGUGGAACCAUGAAUAGAGUACCCACUAGUUGGGGUUUUGUUUAUCCUAGGGUGAACAAGGUAAUAAUAACAAUAGCAAUAAUAAUGCCUUAACAAAGGUAAAUAGGCAUGGCUAAAUAAAACAGUGAUAACGCGGGAAUUUAAAUAAAGCGAUAAUGCAUUAAUUUAAAUAAAAAUAAUUUUAUAAACUGGGAUUCAAUAUGCUCAAGGAUGAUGUGACUUGCCUUGCUCAGAGGGAACGGCCUUCCGAACCUUCGGCGACGACCACGAACCACGCUUCGGGAACCUCCGGGACGACGAAAGUUACGCGAAGCACACAAGCAAAGCUACAAGCCUACAAAGAAGCAAUAACAAUACAUAAAAAGAAAGCACAGGGUUCUUUAGGUUAUAACAAACAUUAGGAGACUUGAACGGGUCGAUUCGGAGUUCGUAUGACCAAGAUAUGAUCAUCCGAAGUUUAAUGCUGUUAUAUGGGGAUUUGCGGAUUAUUAUAAUUAAGCUUUGCAACUAUAAAAUAUGUGUAAGCGCUAGCCUGGAAAAGACAGGAAGGCUGCGCCGUUGACAUGCAGACCCCACAUGUCAACCUAAAGGACCGCGGUAGACCGGGUACACAGAGACGGUCCACGGGUCGAUGGAAGUGGACCCCGUGUGUCAACCGAGGCGAGUGGCCGACAAACGGACUCCACUAGACACCACACGGCCUGCACACGUGGAAACCACGCGGCUACCGAGCGGGCACACUAACGCGGACACUACACGGUCACCACCCGCACGCGUGAACGACUACCGACACCGGUACACGGGUACCGGGGCCGACAACCGCACAACGAGCACGGGCGACACCGAAAGGACGAGGACGGGGCAGCGAGGGAGAGGGAUCCUUACCACCACGCGACGAGGCGUGGGGACGACAACGACGAACGGGCGCGGCGGAGACAGCUCGGGGACGACGGAGGCGAACCGCGAGGGAACGACUUCGGCGGCGAUCCUUGGACGAAGGCGAGACGCGGCUGGCACAAGGCUUGACGACGCGGAGCUGAGGACGAAGACGAGGACGGGGCUGCCGCGGCUUGCUUGACUGAUGCGGACGACGGAUGAGAACGGCUCGACGGAGGGACGAACGCCACGACGACCAGGAAUGACGAGAGGACGACGACGACGACGACCGGGGCCGGCGAGGAGGCGACGAGGGCAGCCGGCAGCGGCUGCACGAAUGCGAGGAUGGCGUGGAACACGCCGCAGCGAUGACGAUGACGGAGGCGGCGCCGCGAGACGACGAGCCGGCGAGGAUGAACGGGCGGCCGAAGGGACGUCGGCGACGAUGAGGAUGGAGAGGCCAGCACGGGCGACGGUGUUCCGGCGAAACAGAGGAGCAGCUGGAGGAGAGGACAACGCGGCGACGUCGAUCGGCGUACCGGCGACGUACAGGAGCCGGCCGGAGGCGGGGAGGUACUGGACGCCGACGUGGAGGCCACUCCGGCGAGCUUCGAGCGAGGAGGAGGUGAUGCCGGGGAUGAGGGCGGCGUCGCGGAGCCGAGGGAGGUGGUGGCGACGUCGGCCGGCGCACGGGAAACGCGACAGUGGCGGCCGGAGGUGGAACAGUGGCGGCAACGCCACUGUUUUGCCGGCGAGGACGCGUCUCCGGUGCUUUCCCGCGAAACGGAGGGCUGACCGAGGGAGAGGAGGUGGCUGCGAGGCCGAGGGAGAAGACGGCGCGGCCGGACGGCGCUCCGGCGAGGAGGGAGAGGCGGCUGGAGGCGGCCGGCGCGGAGGAAAGAGAAGGGCGAUGGCGGGAACGCGCCUCCGGCGGUCACCGUGCGAAACGGAGGGCAGGCCGGGGUGGAGGAGGUGGCGGCGACGCUGGAGGAGGCGACGGCGCGACCGGCCGGUGCACGGUCGAGGCGGCACAGGCGGCUGGAGGCGGCCGGCGGCGUGGGAGAGAGAGGAGGGCGGCGGGGAGAGGGCUAGGGACCACGGGGAGGCUCGGGAUGGGGUUAAAACGAUAGAACGGAGUGAGGGGAUCCCAUUUUAUAGGGUGGGGGCGGGAGCCGGGCUCGGGAGAGGGCAGAACGGCCACGGGAAUAACGGCCGACGGCCAUGGAAAGCGGCCGGACUUGGCGCGUCCGUUCCCGGGGAUUGAAGGCACAAAUCAAGGGGGAAUUUGGGGGCAAUUGAAGAGGAUUCAAUGGGGAUUAAAACCCCCCAAUUAAUUUUGGAAUUGGCCAAUUGAAUCAAGCGGAUUUGGAGGAGGGAGCGAGCUAGGGUUCGCACGGGAGAGAGAGAAGCCGGGCGGGAGGAAGACGACUCGCCUGGCGCGUGGGCCCCACGCGGUCGGGCGCGCGGUCAGCGCGCGGCAACGGCGCGCACGCGCGCGCACGUGCGCGGCACGGGCGGGAGGGCGCCGCUCGGGUUGGGCCGGGCGGCCGGCCCAGGAGGAGAGGAUGGGGAGGCGGCCUGUGCCGGGCAGGCCAGGAGGGAAGGGGGGGAGAGGCAGCCCGGGAGAGAGAGGGAGGAGGGAGCUGGGCCGAGGGGAAGGGAGGGAGCUGGGCCGGGAGGGGAGGAGGCCCAAGAGGAGGAGGGAGAGAAGGAGAGGGAGAGAAAGAGAGGGAGGAGAGGGAGACUUUGGGCUGGGCUUGGCCCAAAGGAGGAAGAGGAUUUAUUUUUAGGUUUUUCUUUUUAAUAAACUCUAAUAAUUGUUUUUGUUGCUUAAUAAUUAUUUCCGGUGCUCUGAAAAUUCAAGUAAAAUUUGAGGGCUCCUUUUAGACCAAGGAGAAUUUAACAAAAUUCUCCGGGCCACAUUCGAAUUUUUCUUGUACGUAUUUUAGUGUUUGCCAAUUUCUUUUCGAAUUUUAAUUAAUUCUAUUAUUCCUUUUAGAAAAUGAUUUUUAUUUCGGGAUGAAUUUAUCAGGACGUGACAAAUCCACCCCCCUUACAAGAAUCUCGUCCCCGAGAUUCGAGGCGGCUAGCAUGAAGAUAGGUUGGGCGGUCUUCUCUUCUUGUCUGACUUCUUCCAUCGCGUCUUUUAUAACAAACUUGCUUAGCAAAACUUCUCCACUCUAGGCUGCUUGGCUCGAUCCCUUGUUGCAGAUGGAAUCUUCUCUUCACAUGACUUUUCCCUGGUUGCACCUCUAGCUGACUUCGACUGGGCUGCGGCAUUGGAAGAUGGGGCUUCAGUUCCAGAACUUCUUAUAACUCAUAUCUUUGGAGUCAACCUCAUACAAGUUACCACUUCAUGUCAUGCGUCAACACUAGCUUGUCAUUACUAGGAUACCAUGUUUGUCAUCAUAAGAAUAUCAUGCUUGUCAUUUACUUCUAAUUUGCCACAAACUGCCUCAUAUUAGUUUUCCUGGUCUCCGGGUGCUAGCUACUUCUGCUAUUCGAUGCAAGGGUCGAUAACUUUGCCUUUGAAUUAUGUUUCUCAACAGAACCAACUUAUCCCACUUGACAUGCUUUGACGUCUUCCUAAUUGACUUUACUGCUGAACUUGUUAUUGUCUGAUCGUUUUCCUGCCAAAUCUGAAGCUUUGUUGUUAGAUGCGAUUUUAAUCUGACCUCUAUAGACUAUCUUCGAACAUUUCACUUGGUUCAUAACUAGGAAUAGUUCCCACGAACAGGCAACUCGGAUUCACUUUCUUUACAUUCAGUUUACUUCCCACUAUUCCCUUCAUGUUGUCAUUAUUUAGCAUUCAAAGUAUUCCUUUACACAUUCAACCCUGACAUCCGAAAAAGACACAUCUGAAACUCUUGUCCAAACAAAUGUCUCUUUGGUUAAUCGCUUGAUUUUCAUUUCCAUCAUCAGGUUGAUUAUUAACUCGAGGUUAGAACAUAGUUCCUCUGGAAUGAGACCCUAGGUCUCCUUUAUCAGUAAGCAAUUAUACACAUAAUCACAUAUCCGCAUCUUCCAAAAGAAUCCUCAUAGAACUUGUCUGUAUUACACAUUUCUCCCUCAUUACAUGAAUACUAAGCAUUGCCUAAAAGGAAAGGUGCUUAGCAUUGGUACAUUGCAUCCUCAACAUGAAUCUUCCAUAAACAUAACAAACUCAUUGUUUAUAAUCAUGAAUAUAUUUAUUUAUUACAUGAUUGCUGCAAACUCCCGAUUACAGUGAUAAGUAGCGAACUGAAAAUCACAAACAUGGAUACAUAGCUGGCAUUGUUCUAGUGACUGCAUCCUUGAUUGGUUCUGUGAUGAUGUGAUAGGACUGCAUAUUGCUAUCAUUCACAGGAGAAGUUUCCUUCUGGUUGCUGGUUGAGGCGAAUAACGGUCUUCCGCUUGGUAUCGCCCUCCGGAGGUUGAUUGCCCUUUGCUUGGCCUGGAGUAGGUCGGGGAGAGACACAACUUCUUUCAUCGACGACAAUUCUUUGCUGAGGCUGUCGGUGCAGAGAAUGGUUGGUGCUGAAGGUAUUAUCGCUAUGAUUUAUUGCAGGGUCAGGUGCAGCAGGAGGAGCAUUGGUGCUGUGGAUGAUAUCGUCGAUGUUGCUGUUGGAGCUGACUAGCUGAUGAGACAAUCGUAGGGUUGUUCGUUGGAUUUCUGCGGUCUUGGUCAACAACACACUGAGUUGGCAAUCCUUGGGCACAUGGUUUGUACCUUCGCACAGAAAACAUGUGACCUUGCGGGUGGGACACUCCCCUGGUGGAUGGUCUUCUUCACAAUGAGUGCAGAGUGUGAGACACAUGCUAGCAACGUGUUCAAUUUCCCCGCAACGGGUGCAUGCCUUUGAUUCCAUCUCUUCCUCGCCGAGAUGUCGGGGAGACUCAUCUUCAUCAUCCAAGGAGACUUGAUCUGACCCUUCACUAUCAGAUACUCUGCCACCAUGGCUUAGGAGGUGCUGGGUCAACUGUCGUGCACCUCGGAAAGUAUUUCCUCUUUGACGUCUAGGAAUAGUUAUCCCUGCUGGAGGCCAUUCGGUGCUGGUAAUAGUCAUCUUACGUACUUCUUCUUCAGUUCGCAUCGGUGCUUUUCUCUUCUGAUUCUUACUCUUCUGCCUUUGGCUUGCUUAGUAUGUGACCCCACGUGGUACGAGAGGCUAGGAGGAAAGUAUUUCCCGGGAUUCAAUGGAUUCUCUCCGUUGAGCUCUCUACUUUGCACACUAGGCUGCAAGCUUGACUUGGUGUGAGGAGGCUGGUUUAGCGAUGUCUGCCCUGCUAAACCAAGGGAAGGGGCUUCUUUGACAUAUACCCAUGGACAAUUCAGGGCAUAGUGUCCUUGCUCUCUACAAUCAUGACAAAAGGGGACCUGCUCUUCUGGCAUUGGAAGCUCAUUGACCUGGGUGGCAAAGGCUCGAUCAAACACAUACUGAUUUUGGUCUUGACUUCCAACCAAUGGUAGCUGUGAACUAAGCAGCAUGCUUGGAAUGGACCAAGGGUGUGCCCUGGUUAACUCUCUUGAGGCCAGUGGUGGAUUGAGUUGAAAACUUGAGUUACUGGAGGCAUACCCGCUGACAUUCUUUCCUUUUUCUCUGUUAAACAUCUGUUACAGGGAUUGAGGUGAGAGAGGAAACAAGCCAGGAAAGAAUAGACCAGAACUAGAGACAGGACCUUAAAGGAACUAACUCUUCUUAUUGAUGUAUUGUUUGUUUUGCUUAUUCUGCAAGUUGCUUAAGCAAACAACCUAGCAUGGUUACAUCACACCCCACUGAUGCAAACCACGCGCUACACACACAAGCAAGGAAACACACAACUAACGACUCUACCCUAGAGGGCGGCUUAGGUUCUGCGACUGGUUCUCCAAGAUCUUCACUCCUUCUUCACAGCUGGCUUCACUGCUUCCUACACUUCGCUAGCGGAUCCUGCAGUCUUCCGGAGCUUCGGCAAACAAUUGGCGACAUCUUCUUCUUCGCAAAGCUGACCAUCUAGUACUAGUUGAAAUUUGAAGGAAGAAAAGAGUAAACCUUUUGCAAAUAGCAUUAGGGGAAGGAGAAAAAGAGGAACUUUCGCAAAUAGUUUUAUUUAUAAAAUAUGUCCUUAGGUUUUAUCCACUUGGCUUAUCCUACAGUCGAGAUGGCUCUGAUACCAGCUUGUCACGACCGGGAAAAUUGCCUUUUCCCGAACGCUAGUGCAUUAAUCCCCGUCCCAGGAAAAGCCGGGGUACACCACACAAACAUGAUAUAAAAGACACAUCUUUAUUAUAUCGAUAAUAUUUACAUUAUUACAAAGGCGCUUCAGGCCUGACAAUCAAAAAUAAACAGCAGCGGACUAGCGGGCCUACGGCUCCAUCUCCACAGGCGCUCAACUGGGGUAUAAGCCAGGACUCCACCUAAGACAUCUUCUCCAAAGCUUCUCUUACUGAAGAGGGGAAAGAUUGAGCAAGAAUGAGUACAACCACAGUACUCAGCAAGUCACACCGGCAGAUGCAUGAUUAAUGCAAGGGGGGGUACAAGGGGAUAAUAAUAUCGGGGUUAAGUUUUGCAGAAAACAGCAUUUAAAAGUCACUUAGUUGCCCAAAGCCAUUUUAUAAAGACGAUCCUAGAGUUACACAGUAUUAUUAAACAAGGCCGUGAACCCUCACGAACCUGCCUUAACCCAAGGCCUACGAUGAUUCAGACCGAACUGGCAACCCGACCCUGGGUCCCAGCUCGUCCCAAGCCAACCCAGGCCAACCAUUCCACAUUUUAGUUGUUGAGCAAAUUUUAAGAAUUAAAACACUGACUUGGGUACAUUGCUCGGCUUGCCCAUAACCGAGGGCGCGGCUAUUCGAAUAGAUUAUACUCUGAUCAGAGGUGUACAUCUUUACCCACAAGACACAUCUUCCUCACGUGCAACCACGUGCCACAUACCACCACGGUAUACAGACGGAAGACGUGACAUAGUUUCCAACCCAUCCUAGCCAUAGACAAGAGUGCCGACCCAAUCCCACCUACGGCCGGAACCUCCGGGACAGGCAGGCAGGACUGAGCCCCUAGCAGCAGGGCACCAACCCUGUGCCAUGACAUCUCUACUACCGGGCCGCAGCUCGUGUAGCCUUCAUUUGUCCUAGAGAAUGUCCAUCGACCCCGACUUCAUCCAUCUCCAUCCGUGUACUUUUGUUUAUGACCAGACUGAGCCACAAACUAAGCCUUACCCACUAGACAUGUGGAAGUACGGUAGUGCUUUGCAACAGAGGCCCGAGCUUAAUCCUUAUAGUGGCCGGGGUGCUACUUCCCACAACUGGCAUGCACCCAAACCCCACCGAAAACAGGUUUUAGGGGUUUUGAAAGAGGAAGAGAGGUGUAUGUCCAAUUCCACCAUAAACCAACAAUUCCAUAGUGUCCAAAUGAUAUGAGAAUUCCCAACGUCUAAAGUUGUAAAACCACCUAAUAUUGCCUAAUUAAUCAGCGAAGCAUCUACCUAAAUUCAUACUAGUGGAACCAUGAAUAGAGUACCCACUAGUUGGGGUUUUGUUUAUCCUAGGGUGAACAAGGUAAUAAUAACAAUAGCAAUAAUAAUGCCUUAACAAAGGUAAAUAGGCAUGGCUAAAUAAAACAGUGAUAACGCGGGAAUUUAAAUAAAGCGAUAAUGCAUUAAUUUAAAUAAAAAUAAUUUUAUAAACUGGGAUUCAAUAUGCUCAAGGAUGAUGUGACUUGCCUUGCUCAGAGGGAACGGCCUUCCGAACCUUCGGCGACGACCACGAACCACGCUUCGGGAACCUCCGGGACGACGAAAGCUACGCGAAGCACACAAGCAAAGCUACAAGCCUACAAAGAAGCAAUAACAAUACAUAAAAAGAAAGCACAGGGUUCUUUAGGUUAUAACAAACAUUAGGAGACUUGAACGGGUCGAUUCGGAGUUCGUAUGACCAAGAUAUGAUCAUCCGAAGUUUAAUGCUGUUAUAUGGGGAUUUGCGGAUUAUUAUAAUUAAGCUUUGCAACUAUAAAAUAUGUGUAAGCACUAGCCUGGAAAAGACAGGAAGGCUGCGCCGUUGACAUGCGGACCCCACAUGUCAACCUAAAGGACCGCGGUAGACCGGGUACACAGAGACGGUCCACGGGUCGAUGGAAGCGGACCCUGUGUGUCAACCGAGGCGAGUGGUCGACAAACGGACUCCACUAGACACCGAGCGGGCACACUAACGCGGACACUACACGGUCACCACCCGCACGCGUGAACGACUACCGACACCGGUACACGGGUACCGGGGCCGACAACCGCACAACGAGCACGGGCGACACCGAAAGGACGAGGACGGGGCAGCGAGGGAGAGGGAUCCUUACCACCACGCGACGAGGCGUGGGGACGACAACGACGAACGGGCGCGGCGGAGACAGCUCGGGGACGACGGAGGCGAACGGCGAGGGAACGACUUCGGCGGCGAUCCUUGGACGAAGGCGAGACGCGGCUGGCACAAGGCUUGACGACGCGGAGCUGAGGACGAAGACGAGGACGGGGCUGCCGCGGCUUGCUUGACUGAUGCGGACGACGGAUGAGAACGGCUCGACGGAGGGACGAACGCCACGACGACCGGGAAUGAUGAGAGGACGACGACGACGACGACCGGGGCCGGCGAGGAGGCGACGAGGGCAGCCGGCAGCGGCUGCACGAAUGCGAGGAUGGCGUGGAACACGCCGCAGCGAUGACGAUGACGGAGGCGGCGCCGCGAGACGACGAGCCGGCGAGGAUGAACGGGCGGCCGAAGGGACGUCGGCGACGAUGAGGAUGGAGAGGCCAGCACGGGCGACGGUGUUCCGGCGAAACAGAGGAGCAGCUGGAGGAGAGGACAACGCGGCGACGUCGAUAGGCGUACCGGCGACGUACAGGAGCCGGCCGGAGGCGGGGAGGUACUGGACGCCGACGUGGAGGCCACUCCGGCGAGCUUCAGGCGAGGAGGAGGUGAUGCCGGGGAUGAGGGCGGCGUCGCGGAGCCGAGGGAGGUGGUGGCGACGUCGGCCGGCGCACGGGAAACGCGACAGUGGCGGCCGGAGGUGGAACAGUGGCGACAACGCCACUGUUUUGCCGGCGAGGACGCGUCUCCGGUGCUUUCCCCGCGAAACGGAGGGCUGACCGAGGGAGAGGAGGUGGCUGCGAGGCCGAGGGAGAAGACGGCGCGGCCGGACGGCGCUCCGGCGAGGAGGGAGAGGCGGCUGGAGGCGGCCGGCGCGGAGGAAAGAGAAGGGCGACGGCGGGAACGCGCCUCCGGCGGUCACCGCGCGAAACGGAGGGCAGGCCGGGGUGGAGGAGGUGGCGGCGACGCUGGAGGAGGCGACGGCGCGACCGGCCGGCGCACGGUCGAGGCGGCACAGGCGGCUGGAGGCGGCCGGCGGCGUGGGAGAGAGAGGAGGGCGGCGGGGAGAGGGCUAGGGACCACGGGGAGGCUCGGGAUGGGGUUAAAACGAUAGAACGGAGUGAGGGGAUCCCAUUUUAUAGGGUGGGGGCGGGAGCCGGGCUCGGGAGAGGGCGGAACGGCGACGGGAAUAACGGCCGACGGCCAUGGAAAGCGGCCGGACUUGGCGCGUCCGUUCCCGGGGAUUGAAGGCACGAAUCAAGGGGGAAUUUGGGGGCAAUUGAAGAGGAUUCAAUGGGGAUUAAAACCCCCCAAUUAAUUUUGGAAUUGGCCAAUUGAAUCAAGCGGAUUUGGAGGAGGGAGCGAGCUAGGGUUCGCACGGGAGAGAGAGAAGCCGGGCGGGAGGAAGACGACGCGCCUGGCGCGUGGGCCCCACGCGGUCGGGCGCGCGGUCAGCGCGCGGCAACGGCGCGCACGCGCGCGCACGUGCGCGGCACGGGCGGGAGGGCGCCGCUCGGGUUGGGCCGGGCGGCCGGCCCAGGAGUAGAGGAGGGGGAGGCGGCCUGUGCCGGGCAGGCCGGGAGGGGAGGGGGGGGAGAGGCAGCCCGGAGAGAGAGGGAGGAGGGAGCUGUGCCGAGGGGAAGGGAGGGAGCUGGGCCAGGAGGGGAUGAGGCCCAAGAGGAGGAGGGAGAGAAGGAGAGGGAGAGAAAGAGAGGGAGGAGAGGGAGACUUUGGGCUGGGCUUGGCCCAAAGGAGGAAGAGGAUUUAUUUUUAGGUUUUUCUUUUUAAUAAACUCUAAUAAUUGUUUUUGUUGCUUAAUAAUUAUUUCCGGUGCUCUGAAAAUUCAAGUAAAAUUUGAGGGCUCCUUUUAGACCAAGGAGAAUUUAACAAAAAUUCUCCGGGCCACAUUCGAAUUUUUCUUGUACGUAUUUUAGUGUUUGCCAAUUUCUUUUCGAAUUUUAAUUAAUUCUAUUAUUCCUUUUAGAAAAUGAUUUUUAUUUCGGGAUGAAUUUAUCAGGACGUGACAAAAUCCAAACUACACGAGAUCGGCACAAGUUAUCUCCUCUAUGGGAAGGGUCAUUUAUAAUCUCUGAAGUCACCCGGCCAGGUUCCUACCGACUCAAGCGUGAAGAUGGUACACUUGUUGACAAUUCUUGGAAUAUCGAACAUCUUCGUCGUUUCUACGCUUAAGUUUCUCUAUGUAUUUCCCUAUCUUGACUGUCAACAUCAAGCCUUUUUUUUCUUGAGGUUGUCAGUCGGGGGCUACUAUAAUAAUAAUGGAGUGUGAUUUUUAUCAAUUCAAUUUGCUUACUUGGUCUAUCAUUGCCUUGCUUGAUUUUUCUACUUAGUUUACGAGGACUGAAAGUUUUUAAUAGCUUUUGCGGGUUUUAGGCUCAACAAAGCUUGAUAAAGGCUUUUAAGAAAUCAACAGCUAAGCAAGAAACACCAAGCACAGCAUAAAUACACCGGUAUUAUACAAAUUGUGCCUCCAUCAUUCGUCAUCCAAUACAUUUACAUUUAAUCAGUAUCAGUCUUCUCAUCAUCAGAGUUAUUGUUACCAGUCGGCCGAAGGUCGGUAUCCUGAAACCGAUCUACGACAUCACCUGCAAUCUUGUCGGCUGCUUUUUGAGUGUCGUUGAUAAGAUCAAGGGCAGCCUCUUCGCUUGUCCCAUCCGUAAAACCAUCAAUGGCAUCAAUAUCGAUCUUCGGGUACAGGGAUUUGGUCAUUGCUAGCGCUAAACCUGCUCCCAUGCUUCCGGCUUCUUUAAUAUUCUUGAAAUAGGUGUCCGGAGCGAUUCUCAGCUUGUCAAAUACUUCGGAAGCAUCGAAUCUACUCGGACCAUUGUUAUUAUAGAACAUUGCCUGGACAAGCGGGGUAGCGGCAUUGGCGACCUCAUCCCUGGCUCCUUCAAGUCUUUUGAUCUUGCCAACCAGGACGUCGAAUUGGGCUUGGGACUUGAUCUUGCGGUCUACAAUAACAAAUUCAUGUCAAUGAUCUGCUGCAUCAAAGAGAGAAACUCAGGUUGUUGGCUGACAAUACCUUCAACCUCCUUCAAAGCCGAGUCCCUUUGUGCAGCCAAUUCUGCCUUGUUACUUUCUGUCGCGACCGGGAAAAUUGCCUUUUCCCGAACGCUAGUGUAUUAAUCCCCGUCCCAGGAAAAGCCGGGGUACACCACACAAACAUGAUAUAAAAGACACAUCUUUAUUAUAUCGAUAAUAUUUACAUUAUUACAAAGGCACUUAAGGCCUGACAAUCAAAAAUAAACAGCAGCGGGCUAGCGGGCCUACGGCUCCAUCUUCACAGGCGCUCAACUGGGGUAUAAGCCAGGACUCCACCUAAGACAUCUUCUCCAAAGCUUCUCUUACUGAAGAGGGGAAGGAUUGAGCAAGAAUGAGUACAACCACAGUACUCAGCAAGCCACACCGGAGAUGCACAAUUAAUGCAAAGGAGUACAAGGGGAUAAUAAUAUAGGGUUUAAGGUUUGCAGUAAACAGCAUUUAAAAGUCACUUAGUUGCCCAAAGCCAUUUUAUAAAGACGAUCCUAGAGCUACACAGUAUUAUUAAACAAGGCCGUGAACCCUCACGAACCUGCCUUAACCCAAGGCCUACGAUGAUUUGGACCGAACUGGCAACCCGACCUGGGUCCCAGCUCGUCCCAAGCCAACCCAGGCCAACCAUUCCAUAUUUUAGUUGUUGAGCAAAUUUUAAGAAUUAAAACACUGACUUGGGUACAUUGCUAGGCUUGCCCAUAUCCGAGGGCUCGGCUAUUCGAAUAGAUUUACUCUGAUCAGAGGUGUACAUCUUUACCCACAAGACACAUCUUCCUCACGUGCAAACACGUGCCACAUACCACCACGGUAUACGGACGGAAGACGUGACAUAGUUCCCAACCCAUCCUAGCCAUAAACAAGAGUACCGACCCAAUCCCACCUACGGCCGGGAUACCCGGGACAGGCAGGCAGAACUGAGCCCCUAGCAGCAGGGCACCAACCCUCUGCCGUAUGACAUCUCGACUACCGGGCCGCAGCUCGUGUAGCCUUCAUUUGUCCUGGAGUAUGUCCAUCGACACCCGACUUCAUCCAUCUCCAAUCCGUGUACUUUUGUUUAUGAUUAGACUGAGCCACAAACUAAGCCUUACCCAUUAGACAUGUGGAAGUACGGUAGUGCUUUGCAACAGAGGCCCGAGCUUAAUCCUUAUAGUGGCCGGGGUGCUACUUCCCACAACUGGCAUGCACCCAAACCCCACCAAAAACAGGUUUUAGGGGUUUUGAAAGAGGAAGAGAGGUGUGUGUCCAAUUCCAACAUAAGCCAACCAUUCCAUAGUGUCCAAAUGAUAUGAGAAUUCCCAAAGUCUAAAGUUGUAAAACCACCUAAGGUUGCCUAAUUAAUCAGCGAAGCAUCUACCUAAAUUCAUACUAGUGGAACCAGGAAUAGAGUACCCACUAGUUGGGGUUUUGUUUAUUCUAGGGUGAACAAGGUAAUAAUAACAAUAACAAUAAAAGUAAGGUCAUAACAAAGGUAAAUAGGCAUGGCUAAAUAAAACAGUGAUAACGCGGGAAUUUAAAUAAAGCGAUAAUGCAUUAAUUUAAAUUAAAAUAAUUUUGUAAACUGGGAUUUCAAUAUGCUCAAGGAUGAUGUGACUUGCCUUGCUCGCUUUCCCAAACGCCGGCUUCGACUUCCACGAAAAGCGGAUCUUCCGAAGCUGCAGCGUCUACACGACCAACGGAAAAGAAAAGGGCUUUUACACUACUAAACUCCACAUAACAGCAGAAACAAAGCACAAAAAUGGGUUCUUGACUUCUUAAGGAAAAAUUAGAGACUUGAACGGUCCAAUUCCGAGUUCAAAUGGCCAAGAUAUGGCCAUUUGAAGUUUAUAUGCUCUUUAAAUGGAUAUUUGCGAAUUUCUUCAUUUAAUUUUCAAUUAAAAAAUCCUAUUUAUUGCGUCAGCCGGGGGAGCGGGCGCGCGGACCGGGUCCACGGGAAGUGGGGCCCACGCGUCAGCCCCACGGUCCACGGUGGACCGGGCGCACGCGGCUGGCGGCGGUCGGCGCCGUGGGUCCCGCGCGUCAGCCGCACCCGCGGGCGCGGGCGGCGGACGGCCGGGCCCACUUGGCAGCCGCGAGGGCGCGCCCGAGGGCGGCCUCGCCGGCACGGCCGACGGGAGCGGCGCGCCCGCGCCCCGAUGGUCGCCGCCGGCGACCAACGGCGCGGCGGAGCGGCACCCGAGAGAGAGGAGGGAAGGGGGAAACGAACGGAGCGGUCCACGGCUCACCCCAAGACGGCGAAGGCGGUGGAAACGGCGGACGGAGCGGAGGAAGACGGCGGCGCGGCUCGGGAUGACGAUGACGACGGUGCUCCGGCGGUCGACGGGCGAAGCGGAGCGGCGGACGGGGUCGGCGACCACUCGGCGAAGCGGACGGAGGUGUCGCCGAGUAAGGAGGAAGUCCGGAGCGGCGGCGGCGGCGGAACGGAGCUCGGCGGCGAUGGCGGAGAGAGCGGAGCACGGCGCGGGCACGAAAUCGACGGCGAGAGCGAGCGGCGAGCGGCGGAAACGGAAGAGCGGAGCUCGGGCAACGAUUUUAUAGCGUCGGAAGGGAGAGAAGGCGGCCGAGGAGGAAGGAAACCGGCCGCGGGGAUUUCGGCCGCCAUUGAAGACGCCGGCGAACUUCGCGGGAUGAAUCCGGACGAAUCCGAGGGAGAGAGAGAGGGAAAAGGGGGGGAAUCGGGAGAGGGAAACGCGGGGAGUAAUUCCCCCCUCAUUAAGGCGCGCGGGGAAAGCGGGAUGCGGCGGAUUCAGCGGCGGCGGCGGCGCUAGGGCACGGGCGGGCGGCGGGCGCGGCGGGAGGAAGGCGAUGACAGGUGGGCCCCACCCGUCAGCGAGAGCCGGGGCGGGCCCGCCUGUCAGCGGCGCGCGCACGGGGGAGGAGCCGAUGGGCCGGGGGGAAAGAGAGAGAGAGAGGGAGGGAAUGGGCCGAGCCGGCCCAAGAAGGGAGGAGGAGGGGGAAAAGACUUCUUUUAGGAUUUUCUUUUUAUAAACCUUUUCAACUUUGUUUAUUUCUUUUCAAUUAUUAUUUGUGCUCUGAAAAUUCCACUAAAAUUUGAGGGCUCCUUUUAGACCAAGGAGAAUUUAACAAAAAUUCUCCGGGCCAUAUUUGAAUUUUUCUUGUACGUAUUUUAGUGUUUGCCAAUUUCUUUUCGAAUUUUAAUUAAUUCUAUUAUUCCUUUUAGAAGAUGAUUUUUAUUUUGGGAUGAAUUUAUCAGGACGUGACAAAUCCACCCCCCUUACAAGAAUCUCGUCCCCGAGAUUCGAGGAGGCUAGCAAGAAGAUAGGUUGGGCGGUCUUCUCUUCUUGUCUGACUUCUUCCGUUGCGUCUUGACGAACUUCCAGCAAAACUUUACCACUCGGAACUGCUUGGCUUGACCUCCUGUUGCGGAUGGAAUCUUCUCUUCACCUGACUUGGACCAGGGUGCACCUUUUGGCUGACUCAGACUAAGUUGCGGUAGUUCAGUGAUGCUUCCGUUCCAGAACUUCUCAUGAUUCAUAUCUUCGGAGUCAACCUCGGACAAGUUAUCAACUUCAUGUCAUGCGUCGUAACCUGCUUGUCAUUACUAGGAUACCAUGCUUGUCAUUUGCUUCUAACUCGCCAUCAACUGUCUCAUAUUAGCUUUCCUGGUCUCCGGGUGAUAGCUACUUCUGCUAUUUGAUGCAAGGGUCGAUAACUUUACCUUUGAAUUAUGCUUCCCAAGAGAGCCAACUUAUCCUACUUGUUAUACUUUGACGUCUUCCCAAAUGGCUUUACUGCUGGAUUUGUUAUUGUCUAAUCAUUACCCUGUCAAAUCUGAGGCUUCGUUGUGAGAGGUGAUUUUAAUCUGACCUCUAUAGACUAUCUUCGAACAUAUCACUGGUUCUAUAACUGGGAAUGGCUCUCACGAACAAGCAGCUCGGAUUCACUUUCUUUACAUUCAGUUUACUUCCCAUUAUUAUCUUCAGGUUGUCCUCAGUUAGCAUUCAACGUAUUCCUUUACACUUUUAACCUUGAUGUGUUCUUUCCCAUUGGAUCAUCUCCCAAGACUUGGCAUUACCUGGUAACCGGUGCUUGCACUUUUCACUUCGUGUAGCAUCUGAUACCGAGUUGAAGAUUUCACUCCUUGCCUUCAUAGAAACACUUUUACCUAGGUCAUCUUGCUUACUUAAUGACAAGGUGACUGUUGCGGGGCAAUUACAAUCAGGGGUCUUCCUUGAGCGAUGCAGAGCAUGUUUCUGUUUAUCAAUCACCUUUCGGCCUACUUCUUUCAUGCUAGAGAACAUCUUUGCCAAUCUCUUUUAUCAAUCAUCUUUCGGCUUAUCUCUAACAGGUGGUAUUCUUGAAUGUGGAUUGCGGACGCUUCUGGGGAUGAUGAGGUCCUUUGGCUUGCUGCCUUUCAGUGAAACCUUGAUGUGGCUCGUCAAAAGCUGCACUGACUACCUUCAGGGAAAUACAUUGCCUGCUAUCUGUAUCUAUACCACUAGGGUUUAAUUGCCGAUGGUCAUCUUUAGUGCUUCCUCGAGAUGGGGAGCAUCCAAAUUGUUCUUCUGCCACAUCACCUUUGACCUUUUUCUGAUACCAGAUAAACUAAUUACCAACCAUCGACUAUUAUGUUCUCAAAUAUUGAUGUCUCCUGGAUCUCCUUAUCUGUUGGCAGGUAUAUCCGAUCUUAUCAAUGUAGAGGUAUGGCGGGUACCCUUCGGGGUUUCCUCCAACAAUCCUUAUCUUGAUCUGUAAAAGGCGUAUCCAAACUCCUAUCCUCAACUACUGUCUCGUUGGCUUUUUAACCCAACACAGUUUAAUUGUUUUUCUUUUCCAUCCACAGGUUGGCUAUUAACUCGAGGUUAGAAUAUAGUUCCUCUGACACGAGACCCUAGGUCUCCUUUGUCAGUAAACAAUUAUACACAUGAUCACAUAUCCGCAUCUUUCAAACGAAUCCUCAUGGAACUUGUCUGUAUUACACAUUUCUCCCUCAUUACAUGAAUACGGGGCACUGCCUUAAACAAAAAGGGACGGUGCUUAACAUCGGUACAUUGUAUCUACUAUGGGUUAGAAUUAACAUGAGGCCUCACAGGUACGGCGUUUGCUCCAGUGACCACAAGGCGAGUGACUUGUCUUCUUCUUGCAUAAUGGCCGGAGUGAUGGCGCAGGUUACGCUUCGGCUGUGGACAAUCUCUAGAGAAAUGACCUGGUUCUUUGCAGUUGUAACAAAUCAACGUCUUCUUUACUGAGCUGUCCAUCUGGGGACGAUCAUUUUGACUUGGAGUUGGAAUUGGUGGUUGGGAAUCCUUGCUAACAUUGGCAUCAGUGGUACCAUUAUUGCUAUCACCAUUGGAGUCCUUCCCAGAGUCAAAAUUGCUAGGGUUGUCAUUCUGGGUGCCUUCAUUGAUACUAUCGUCGAUAUCUUGGUGAAUGAUGUUGACAUUGCACGCUUGAUCUAAGUGGUCAUGAAUGGGGCAAGAACCAUGGUUGUUGGUGGUAUCAUCAGCAUUAGUAUUGCUAUUGUUGUUGCCUGCAUUGCGUUCAUCUUCUUGGGGCAGGAACUCUUGAUACACAACAGAAGAUCCGGUGAUCUGAAGUGGCUCAGUGCGCUGUCUUUGGUUACCACCUGGAAAUACUGGGUUGUUAACCAUCCUUCUCUUGCAGUUCGUCAUCCGAUUAUGCUCACUUUCGAGUUGCAUGGCUUUGUCCACAAGUUUCUCAAAAUCUUCAUAAUCCUCUAGAAGUAGUUGCACUGCAAGCUCAUCUUUUAACCCCUGGAGAAACUUCUCUUGUUUGUCUUCAUCCGUUUCCACAUCUUCUGGUGCAUAUUGAGCCAAACGAUAGAACUCGUGCAGGUACUCUGUGACGGUCAAAUCUCCUUGCUUCAGGUAGCGGAACUCUCGUUUUCUUAGUGUGAUCAUUCCUGCGGGAACAUGUGAUCUCUUGAAUACAGAUGAAAACUCGUUCCAGGUGAUGGUAUGUCCUUCUGGCCGUGAUGCUUCGUAGCUAUCCCACCACUCUGAAGCCGGUCCAACCAACUGAUGAGUUGCGAAGCCAACCCGCUCCUGGUCGGUGCACUGAAUCAACCCUAGCUUCUUCUCGACUGUGCGCAACCAAUCACUGGCUUCCAUAGGAUCGACGGCCAUGGCAAAGGUUGGAGGCCCCGUUUUGAGAAAUUCUGAUAACUUGCACUGUUGCUGGACUGUAGGUACUUGAACGUUGGUUGCCCCUGCUGGGUUGUUCCGAUUCUGUAAUAGUUGAAAGGCGGUUGCCAACAUGUUGGUUUGGUUAACCACAAUUUGGAUUAGCUCUGGUGAGGUUUCGUUGAUGCUUUUCUCAUUCCCAUUGGCUUGGGUUCUUGAGUCAUCGGAUCCAUCAUUCCCAUAGCCUUUGUUACCAGUGUUAUCCAUCUGUCACAAGGUAGGGGUUGAGAGAGGAAGCAUACAAGGAAAGAAUAGACCAGAGCUAGGGACAGGACCUUAAAGGAACUAACUCUUUUUAUUGAUGUGUUGUUUGUUUUGCUUAUUCUGCAAGUUGAUUAAGCAAACAACCUAGCAUGGUUACAUCACAACCCACCGAUGCAAACCACGCGCUACACACACAAGCAAGGAAACACACGACAAACGAAACACUAGAGGGUGGCUUAGUGUUCUGCGACGGGUUCUCCAAGAUCUUCACUCCUGCUUCACAGCUGGCUUCACUGCUUCCUUCGCUUCGCUAGCGGAUCCUGCAGUCUUCCGGAGCUUCGGCAAACAACUGACGAUAUCUUCUUCUUCACUGACCUGACCAUCUAGUACUAGUUGAAAUCCGAAGAAGGAAGAACGGAGUAAACCUUUUGCAAAUAGCAUUAGGGGAAGGAGAAAAAGGAACUUUCGCAAAUAAUUUUAUUUAUAAAAUAUGUCCUUAGGUUUUAUCCACUUGGCUUAUCCUACAGUCGAGAUGGCUCUGAUACCAGCUUGUCGCGACCGGGAAAAUUGCCUUUUCCCGAACGCUAGUGUAUUAAUCCCCGUCCCAGGAAAAGCCGGGGUACACCACACAAACAUGAUAUAAAAGACACAUCUUUAUUAUAUCGAUAAUAUUUACAUUAUUACAAAGGCACUUAAGGCCUGACAAUCAAAAAUAAACAGCAGCGGGCUAGCGGGCCUACGGCUCCAUCUUCACAGGCGCUCAACUGGGGUAUAAGCCAGGACUCCACCUAAGACAUCUUCUCCAAAGCUUCUCUUACUGAAGAGGGGAAGGAUUGAGCAAGAAUGAGUACAACCACAGUACUCAGCAAGCCACACCGGAGAUGCACAAUUAAUGCAAAGGAGUACAAGGGGAUAAUAAUAUAGGGUUUAAGGUUUGCAGUAAACAGCAUUUAAAAGUCACUUAGUUGCCCAAAGCCAUUUUAUAAAGACGAUCCUAGAGCUACACAGUAUUAUUAAACAAGGCCGUGAACCCUCACGAACCUGCCUUAACCCAAGGCCUACGAUGAUUUGGACCGAACUGGCAACCCGACCUGGGUCCCAGCUCGUCCCAAGCCAACCCAGGCCAACCAUUCCAUAUUUUAGUUGUUGAGCAAAUUUUAAGAAUUAAAACACUGACUUGGGUACAUUGCUAGGCUUGCCCAUAUCCGAGGGCUCGGCUAUUCGAAUAGAUUUACUCUGAUCAGAGGUGUACAUCUUUACCCACAAGACACAUCUUCCUCACGUGCAAACACGUGCCACAUACCACCACGGUAUACGGACGGAAGACGUGACAUAGUUCCCAACCCAUCCUAGCCAUAAACAAGAGUACCGACCCAAUCCCACCUACGGCCGGGAUACCCGGGACAGGCAGGCAGAACUGAGCCCCUAGCAGCAGGGCACCAACCCUCUGCCGUAUGACAUCUCGACUACCGGGCCGCAGCUCGUGUAGCCUUCAUUUGUCCUGGAGUAUGUCCAUCGACACCCGACUUCAUCCAUCUCCAAUCCGUGUACUUUUGUUUAUGAUUAGACUGAGCCACAAACUAAGCCUUACCCAUUAGACAUGUGGAAGUACGGUAGUGCUUUGCAACAGAGGCCCGAGCUUAAUCCUUAUAGUGGCCGGGGUGCUACUUCCCACAACUGGCAUGCACCCAAACCCCACCAAAAACAGGUUUUAGGGGUUUUGAAAGAGGAAGAGAGGUGUGUGUCCAAUUCCAACAUAAGCCAACCAUUCCAUAGUGUCCAAAUGAUAUGAGAAUUCCCAAAGUCUAAAGUUGUAAAACCACCUAAGGUUGCCUAAUUAAUCAGCGAAGCAUCUACCUAAAUUCAUACUAGUGGAACCAGGAAUAGAGUACCCACUAGUUGGGGUUUUGUUUAUUCUAGGGUGAACAAGGUAAUAAUAACAAUAACAAUAAAAGUAAGGUCAUAACAAAGGUAAAUAGGCAUGGCUAAAUAAAACAGUGAUAACGCGGGAAUUUAAAUAAAGCGAUAAUGCAUUAAUUUAAAUUAAAAUAAUUUUGUAAACUGGGAUUUCAAUAUGCUCAAGGAUGAUGUGACUUGCCUUGCUCGCUUUCCCAAACGCCGGCUUCGACUUCCACGAAAAGCGGAUCUUCCGAAGCUGCAGCGUCUACACGACCAACGGAAAAGAAAAGGGCUUUUACACUACUAAACUCCACAUAACAGCAGAAACAAAGCACAAAAAUGGGUUCUUGACUUCUUAAGGAAAAAUUAGAGACUUGAACGGUCCAAUUCCGAGUUCAAAUGGCCAAGAUAUGGCCAUUUGAAGUUUAUAUGCUCUUUAAAUGGAUAUUUGCGAAUUUCUUCAUUUAAUUUUCAAUUAAAAAAUCCUAUUUAUUGCGUCAGCCGGGGGAGCGGGCGCGCGGACCGGGUCCACGGGAAGUGGGGCCCACGCGUCAGCCCCACGGUCCACGGUGGACCGGGCGCACGCGGCUGGCGGCGGUCGGCGCCGUGGGUCCCGCGCGUCAGCCGCACCCGCGGGCGCGGGCGGCUGACGGCCGGGCCCACUUGGCAGCCGCGAGGGCGCGCCCGAGGGCGGCCUCGCCGGCACGGCCGACGGGAGCGGCGCGCCCGCGCCCCGAUGGUCGCCGCCGGCGACCAACGGCGCGGCGGAGCGGCACCCGAGAGAGAGGAGGGAAGGGGGAAACGAACGGAGCGGUCCACGGCUCACCCCAAGACGGCGAAGGCGGUGGAAACGGCGGACAGAGCGGAGGAAGACGGCGGCGCGGCUCGGGAUGACGAUGACGACGGUGCUCCGGCGGUCGACGGGCGAAGCGGAGCGGCGGACGGGGUCGGCGACCACUCGGCGAAGCGGACGGAGGUGUCGCCGAGUAAGGAGGAAGUCCGGAGCGGCGGCGGCGGCGGAACGGAGCUCGGCGGCGAUGGCGGAGAGAGCGGAGCACGGCGCGGGCACGAAAUCGACGGCGAGAGCGAGCGGCGAGCGGCGGAAACGGAAGAGCGGAGCUCGGGCAACGAUUUUAUAGCGUCGGAAGGGAGAGAAGGCGGCCGAGGAGGAAGGAAACCGGCCGCGGGGAUUUCGGCCGCCAUUGAAGACGCCGGCGAACUUCGCGGGAUGAAUCCGGACGAAUCCGAGGGAGAGAGAGAGGGAAAAGGGGGGGAAUCGGUGAGAGGGAAACGCGGGGAGUAAUUCCCCCCUCAUUAAGGCGCGCGGGGAAAGCGGGAUGCGGCGGAUUCAGCGGCGGCGGCGGCGCUAGGGCACGGGCGGGCGGCGGGCGCGGCGGGAGGAAGGCGAUGACAGGUGGGCCCCACCCGUCAGCGAGAGCGGCGGGCGGGCCCGCCUGUCAGCGGCGCGCGCACGGGGGAGGAGCCGAUGGGCCGGGGGGAAAGAGAGAGAGAGAGGGAGGGAAUGGGCCGAGCCGGCCCAAGAAGGGAGGAGGAGGGGGAAAAGACUUCUUUUAGGAUUUUCUUUUUAUAAACCUUUUCAACUUUGUUUAUUUCUUUUCAAUUAUUAUUUGUGCUCUGAAAAUUCCACUAAAAUUUGAGGGCUCCUUUUAGACCAAGGAGAAUUUAACAAAAAUUCUCCGGGCCAUAUUUGAAUUUUUCUUGUACGUAUUUUAGUGUUUGCCAAUUUCUUUUCGAAUUUUAAUUAAUUCUAUUAUUCCUUUUAGAAGAUGAUUUUUAUUUUGGGAUGAAUUUAUCAGGACGUGACACUUUCUAAGGCCUGAAUUCGUUUCUCCAGUUGAGCUAUCUUGGCAGCUUGCACUGUUUUGAUUCCAGAUAGUUGAGGAUACGAUUAUAACAACACAAAUUAAUGGGGCAGAUCUUGAGGUUACCUUUUGAUGAGCCACUCAGUUCAAAGUUUGAAUCCUGGAGUUGGGUAAUCCGGUCCCUUAGUUCAUGCUCUGUCUUUUUAGCAAGUUCUUUGGCUUCGUGUAUGUCACACCCUAAAAAUCUUAAAUAUAUAAAUUGUGGUUUAAUUGGAAUUUUUAGAAAUUAUUUUAAAAGCCUACAAGCUAAACCCUAAUUUUCUAGGAAAAUUUUCAACAUAAAAAUGAGCUAGAUAAAAUUUUAUUAAAUACUAUGCUUGCUCCUCUAUGUUCUAGAAUUUUCUGGGAAUUAUUUGAGUAAGGGAAGUAUUUUUAAUAAUUGAAACAACAUUUCACAAAUUGUUUUAUUCGAAAAAGUUCAAAAAUCCCCCUCUUAGGCCGUUGGGCCGUUUUCGGCCCAACUCUCCCUUUUCUCUCUCUCCCCGCGCGCGGCCCACGCCGGCCCAAGCCGCCGCCGCCCGCCCCUCUCUCACGGAGGCCGACAGGUGGGGCCCACCUGUCAAGUCCGUCCCCGACCUCCGGCCGCCGCCGCGCGAGCCCGAACCCUAGCCGCCGCUUCCCGCUCCGAUUCCGCCCAAAUCCGAGCCCAAUUCCUUUGGGAUUUUGAGGGGUUUUGUUCCUCUCGUUCUCCUCUUUCUUUUCCCCCAAUAAUCAAAGAGAAUCGUUGAGGAUUGGGUCCGAAUCGAGUUCGUUUUGCUUUUAUCCCUAAAACCGAGUUCGAUUUCUUCCCGAUUCGAUUCCUCCCGUUUGGAGCUCGAUCUCUUCAAUCCGAGCUCAUAUAAAGCUUCCCCUUGAUCUCCUCUUCCGUUUGCCCCCUCUCCCGAGUCCUCCCGUGCCUCCUAGCGCCGCCGCGACGCUCUCCAAGUCCGCCGCCGUCGCCGGCCGUCUUCAGCAACGCCGCCGCGCCGUCUCCGCCGUCGCCGUCGCUUGCCGUCAUCGCCAAGAGGUGCGCCGUGGUGCAAGGAAGCUCGGCCGCCCCUUCUUUCCCGCCGCCGACCACCGGAGCUCGCUCGUCGCCGUCGACCCGAGCCGCCGCCGUCUUCCUUCUCGUCGCCGGCCGCCGUCGUGCAUCGUUUCUCGUCGUGGUGAGUACCAACGGGUUCGUCUCGUUGUCCUCUACGUGUAGAUGGUCUCCGUUUCCGCCGCCAACCUCCCUAACGCCGGCGAGCUCGUCGACCCGAGCCGGCCGUCGUGCUGACGUCAUGCCGACGUCAUCGCAAGGGCUGACGUCAUCAUCCUUAGGGCUGACGUCAUCUCUCUCUCUUUUUCCUUUUUCUCGAUUUUCUAAUAGAUUAAAACUUCGGAAAAUCAUAACUAAAUAACCGUAGAUCCGUUUUAGGUGGUUCAAGUUUCUAAACUUUUCUAAAAUCAAGAUCUACAUGUUAAAAAUAUCCACAUGUACUGUUUAUGCUUGUUUUUGUACUGUUUUGUUGAUUUUGUUUAUUUGCUUUAGUUUCCGACGUUCCGGAGGAGAGCGUUUCCGUUGAGGAAGGUUCCGAAGCGUUUGUGGAAGCCCAAGACAAGUCACACAGAUCCUAACCACAACCCUUUGAGCAUGUUGAUCCUAUAUUUAAAUUCUCUAUUUAUUUCAACUGUGCAUUUAUUUUCGAAUGUCACCGGGUGGUGUGAACCUACUCCUUUGUUAUAGCCAAUUUGCAUUGAAUGCCCUAUUCCUUGAUACCUUGGGUAAUAAAUUGAUUAGCUUGAACCUUAUAUAUUGGAUUGGUUCAGCUAAAUGCUAUAUGUAAGUUUGCUUAGCUAUGCUUAGAAACAUUAGCUAACUAAAGGGGAUUAAUUAUAAACUAUGUUACAUUAUUAUUAUUAAUUAUGGUUACAUUUAAUGGUAGCUCACGAUGGUAAAUCGUGUGAUGUUAAUUAAUUGAUAAUUAAAACCUGGUUAAGGUGGGUUGUGAGCAUAUGGUUUUGAUGGUUGUGCUCAUGACAAUUAAGGACCGGUUCGCGAGCUACUGUUGUGAAACAUUUAUCGUGCCAACCACAAGCCAGCGUGGGCAACGGCUUUAUCUUUUGUAUAGCGUGAUUCAUUAUAGUGCGCCAGACUGAGAAGUGGCGAGAAGUCCAUGGGGGUCGCUGGGGAGUCCAUGCCUUGUUUAUAAGGGGGUGAUUAUGAUCCAGGUACGGUGCACUGUGGUGAAUUGUGUUAUGCGAGGGGUAUUGUCACGACUCCUUUCCGAGGUAUCGUGGUGGUACUGAGGCACAUGGUGACAUGAUGUGGGGUUGUGUCUUGUGGGUACAGUGGUACACCUCUGAUCAGAGUUUAAAACUAUUCGAAUAGCCGUACCCGCGGUUAUGGGUGAGUUGAGCAAUGUUUUUCGUGAUUAGUCUCACACUACUCAUUAUUGGUGAAAAGGUGUAAUUGAUUUAAUUCCUGGUCUGGAAUGGCUAAUUCCUGGUUUGGAGGUUUAAUUUGUUCAAUUGGGGUUGGUUGUUCAAAUGUGGUUGGGCCUAUGCAACACGGGUGUGUUGUAUGGUGUUUAUUUAAUAUUGAUUAAUUAUUCAACUGUUUUACUAUUCUCUUAAAUAUUUAUUAAAUGCUGUUUUCUGCAAAUGAGCUAUAUUAUGCCAUCCUUUGUUAUCCUGUGCACUUGCAUAUUUGCUGUGUGGCUUGUUGAGUAUGUUAUAUGCUCAUUCUUGCAAUAUUCAUUCAUCAGAAGAGGAGUACUUCAGUGAAGGUGAUGAUCUGGAGGACUAGGCCUGUUCUUGGUUAAGUUGCCUGCGGAGUAGAGUCGCCAUCGCUGUUCCGUAGUUUGCCAUAGUUUUAUUUUCCGCUGCGUAGAAUGUUAUUUUUGUUUGAGAGGAACUAUCCACCUCUGUAAUAAUUUAUUAUUUUCGAAUAUUCCAUAGUUAAAUAUUUGUACUCUAUUAUCAAUAUUGUCAUUGUGUGCCUCGGUUGAUUCCUGGACGAGGGCUUAACACACAUGUAAGCGUUUGGAAUUUUGGAUAGAAAUUCUGGGCGUGACAAGUUGGUAUCAGAGCCACCUUGACUUUAGGAUAAGCUAAAUGGUAAACCUUAAGUAGCCUUCAAAAUAUUUUUGAAAAAAAUAGAACUGCUCUUCUCUAUUCUCUUACAAAUUAAUUAAGUUGGCAGCACAUGCAAGGUUAUGCACAAAAUUUAUUGAAACUCAAUUUCUUUUCUUUUAAAAGCAAAAGGUUGCUCUUCUCAAAAUGUUUCUUUCUUUCUCUUUACCAAAUUUCAUUGAUUAGUCGGCACUGUACAUUUAUUAUGGUAUCGAUUUAAUCAUGUUAGCACUAGUACUACUCAUCUUCCUUAUGGUGACACUGUACCGUGCUUAUAAUAGAUCAUAAGUAUUUUAGUUUUAUUUUAGUUAUUUGUCAAAAAAAAAUAUACUUGUCUCUGUCCAAAAAGUUAAAUUCUAAAAAAAAUAUAUUUAUAAAAUGGUUUUUGUAUGUGUCUUCUCUUUUAAUUCCUUCCUCUUUGGUCAAAAUCAGUUAAGUCUAGUUGGUGCAGCUAACUUAGAAAAAUAUGCAAUAAUUCUUCUCUUCUAUGUUUCUUUAGAUGCCUCGCCAUUCACCAAGAAAUUUGAUCGAGGUGUUAGGAUUCGUCAGGGAGCUGAGGUUGAUGGCUUUUGAAGUAGGUUAUGAAGUUGCUCCCGAGUAUCGCCAGAUUUCCCAUGACCCCGACGAGGAGAAAUGUCGUGUUCGUGUGACGUUGGCUAGUGAUAGUGAAGACCUUCCGUCUUUUAAGUUCGAAGCUGGAGGAAGAUCGUACUGCCAUGCUUGUCAAGAAGCAGCUUUGGUGGCCAUUGGAGAGUUGCGUCAACACUUUGAAGAAGAAUUGGAUUCAUCAGCUUUCCAGUAUCAUCCCCACAAGCCUCAUGGUCAAGACUAUGGAACCUAUACCUGUCCUGAUGGUGAAGAGAGUGCCACUCUGAUGCAUGCGGUGCAUAUGCUUAGUGCUAUGGAUGCAGUAAGUGUGGAGCGAGACAAAGCAGCUCAUGACAGGGAAAACUGGAAUCGAGGCAAGAUUUGCAAGUUGAAGAGCAAGGUGUACCGCCUACAGAAGGAAUUAGCUGAACUUAAAGGAGAAACGCCGCCGCCAACAUCCUAGCUUCGCCUCACUGCAAGAAAGAGAACCUGUCCGCCCCCUCGUCUCCAGUUAGCUUCGAAGAUUCGCGUGAUGGGUGAAGCUGUGCCCGAUCGUGUUGAGCCUGUCAUCGACAUCAUUAGUGAUGAGGAAGAAGAGGAAGAUCCUGAAGAAAGAGAGCCAGCUACUCCAGAGGAAGAAGAUUCAUCGCUUCGUUCCGACGCAAGGCGGAAUUAGUCGCUUAGUUAGAUCGUUGCCGUAGUUCGCUGUGUUAGAUUGCUUGCUUAAGUUUGUUUGUGAGUGUGUGGGUUUUAGUUGUUGCUUACAUCAUGGGUGGGAUGUAACAGCAUGAGUCUAGUUCUUUUGCUUGUCAGAGUGUAAGAAAGUUGGUGAGGUAGUGUUAAUGCAACUUAAAUGUAAUCAUACACAGUUAAGAGCAAUAUAGAAUUUAAAUUAAUUGAAUAACUCCGUUCUAAGGGUGUCUCUCUGUCGUUCUUUCCUUGUUGUCUCUGCUUGUCGUCAGAUGGUGAACACGCGCACUGGCACUGGAAGUGGAAGUGGAAGUGGAGCCAAUAACAAUGAAGAGAACCCAACGCUAGCUCAGAUUUUGGCUCAACAAACACAACUGAUCAAUCUGUUAGUGCAGCAGGCACAGAAUCAGCAGGCAAAUAAUCAAAACCAGAAUCCACCCCCACCUCCCCAAAACAAGUUGGCAGAUUUCUUGCGUGUGAGUCCCCCUACUUUUUCGAGCACCACCAAUCCAGUAGAAGCAGGAGAUUGGUUGCAUGCGGUGGAGAAGAAGUUGGACUUGAUCCAGUGUACUGAGCAGGAGAAAGUUUCUUUUGCUUCGCAUCAGUUGCAUGGACCCGCUGCUGAAUGGUGGGAUCAUUUUCGCCAAGGCAGAGCGGGAGGAGAACCUAUUACUUGGCAGGAAUUCACAACUGCUUUUAAGAAGACGCAUAUACCAACGGGUGUUGUAGCUCUAAAGAAGAGAGAAUUUAGAGCACUCAACCAGGGAUCUCGUUCGGUCACCGAGUACCUCCAUGAUUUCAACCGUUUAGCUCGCUAUGCUCCAGAGGAUGUUCGCACUGAUGAAGAACGUCAGGAGAAGUUUUUGGAGGGACUAAAUGAUGAGUUGUCUUAUGCUUUGAUGUCUACGGAUUUCCGGGAUUUCCAACAAUUGGUGGACAAGGCGAUUCGUCAGGAAGACAAGUAUAACCGUAUGGAGCAGAAGAAGCGCAGGGCUGCUCAAUUUAAGUCACAACAAGGCAGUAACCAGAGGCCGCGACUCGUUACUGGACCUCAAGUUCCAUCGUACCCUCAAGGAGGAUCUUCAUCAGUUGUCCGUCCCCAACGCCAGUUCUACAACAACAAUACUGGUAAUCGUGGCAAUGACAACCGCAGUGUGGUUGCUCGUCCUGCAGCAACUCCAGUUCAGAACCAGCCCGUUAGGAAGGAGCAGGGGAGCAAACCAGUGAUAUGCUUCAAUUGUGGUGAUCCGGGACAUUAUGCUGAUAAGUGUCCGAAGCCUCGGCGUGUGAAGAACGCUCCAGCCCCGAACAACUCCAGUGCUCCAGCACCGAAGGCCCGUGUCAAUCAUGUUGCAGCAGCAGAAGCUCAGAAUGCACCAGAUGUGGUUUUGGGUACGUUUCCUGUUAACUCUAUACCCGCAACUGUGCUUUUUGAUUCCGGUGCUACACAUUCCUUUUUGUCUAAAAGUUUUGCAAGCAAUCAUGGGAUAGAAGUUAUUAGUCUUGGGAGACCUUUACUAGUUAAUACCCCAGGCAAUCAAGUAUUUUCGACACAGUAUUGUCCUUCUGUUACUAUAGAAAUAGAAGAAGUUCUUUUCCCAUCCUCUCUUAUCUUGCUAGAAUCCAAAGACCUAGAUGUUAUCUUAGGGAUGGAUUGGUUAUCUCGUCAUAGAGGAGUUAUAGAUUGUGCCAACCGUAAGGUGACUUUAACCAAUAGCAAUGGGGAAACUGUUUCUUUCUUUGCGUCCUCUCCUAAAUCUCAUGGUGUGGUUUUAAACCAAGUUGCUCUACAAGAGAUUCCUAUAGUACAAGACUACCCAGAUGUGUUUCCCGAGGAUUUGCCGGGUAUGCCACCUAAGAGAGACAUAGAGUUUCGGAUAGACUUGGUACCUGGAACUAACCCUAUCCAUAAGAGACCAUAUAGAAUGGCAGCUAACGAGUUAGCAGAGGUGAAGAAACAGGUGGAUGAUUUGCUUCAGAAAGGAUACAUUAGACCCAGUACUUCGCCAUGGGGAGCACCAGUCAUCUUUGUGGAGAAGAAAGAUCAUACUCAAAGAAUGUGCGUGGAUUAUCGAGCGUUGAAUGAGGUUACUAUCAAGAAUAAAUACCCUUUACCUAGAAUUGAUGACCUGUUUGAUCAAUUGGAAGGUGCUACAGUUUUUUCCAAGAUAGAUCUCCGUUCUGGAUAUCAUCAACUUCGAAUCCGUGAGGAAGAUAUACCAAAGACCGCCUUCACAACUCGGUAUGGUUUGUUCGAAUGUACCGUUAUGUCGUUUGGACUCACUAAUGCCCCAGCCUUUUUCAUGAAUCUGAUGAACAAGGUGUUUAUGGAAUAUCUGGAUAAGUUUGUCGUGGUGUUUAUCGAUGACAUUCUCAUUUACUCCAAGACGAAAGAAGAACAUGAAGAGCAUCUUCGUCUAGCUUUAGAGAAACUACGUGAGCAUCAGCUUUAUGCCAAGUUCAGUAAAUGUGAAUUUUGGUUGUCCGAAGUGAAGUUUCUUGGUCAUGUCAUCUCGUCUGGAGGAGUGGCAGUAGAUCCAAGCAAUGUGGAGUCAGUAUUAAGUUGGAAGCAACCCAAGACGGUUUCAGAAAUUCGUAGUUUCCUUGGACUUGCUGGGUAUUUGUCACGACCGGAAAUAACCCAACGGGCGUUCCUGACGUGCGUGCAUUAAUCCUUGUCCCAGGAGGCAAGGUACACCAACAGUUGAUACAAUUCAGAGUUUAACAAGCGGAAGCGUAAAUAGUUAACUUAUUACAUGGGCAGCGAAGGCCCAGCACACACAAAGACAAACGGGAAACAGUGGAAGACUAGGGCGACGACCACAGGCGCUUGACGGCAGGCACGAGCUAGACACCAAAGCCUUCAUCUUCAAGGAGCUCCUCUUCUGGGCUUGGGAAAAAUUGAGCAAGACUGAGUACAACCACCGUACUCAACAAGACACACCCACAAAUGCAGAAUAAAUGCAAGGGAGUACAAGGGAAUUAUACCAUAAAGGGGUUAGGGUUGCAGUAAACAGCAUUUAAAGACAUUUAGUUGCUCAAAGCUAUUUUGUAAACCCGAUCCUAGAACUAUACAAUGUUAUUAAUCAAGGCCGUGAACCCACACGAACCUGCCUUAACCCAAGGCCUACGAUGAUUCAGACCGAACUGGCAACCCGACCCUGGGUCCCAGCUCGUCCCAAGCCAACCCAGGCCAACCAUUCCACAUUUUAGUUGUUGAGCAAAUUUUAAGAAUUAAAACACUAACUUGGGUACAUUGCUCGGCUUGCCCAUAACCGAGGGCGCGGCUAUUCGAAUAGAUUAUACUCUGAUCAGAGGUGUACAUCUUUACCCACAAGACACAUCUUUCUCACGUGCAACCACGUGCCACAUACCACCACGGUAUACAGACGAAAGACGUGACAUAGUUUCCAACCCAUCCUAGCCAUAGACAAGAGUACCGACCCAAUCCCACCUACGGCCGGAACCUCCGGGAUAGGCAGGCAGGACUGAGCCCCUAGCAGCAGGGCACCAACUCUGUGCUAUGACAUCUCGACUACCGGGCCGCAGCUCGUGUAGCCUUCAUUUACCCUGGAGAAUGUCCAUCGACCCCCGACUUCAUCCAUCUCCAAUCCGUGCACUUUUGUUUAUGACUAGACUGAGCAACAAACUAAGCCUUACCCACUAGACAUGUGGAAGUAUGGUAGUGCUUUGCAACAGAGGCCCGAAGACCGGUCCUUAUAUGGCCGAGGUGCUACUAUCAAAACCAUGCACCCCGAGCCCAGCCUAAAACCUCUUUUGGGGAUUUUGAAUAGAGGGGGCGGUGUGAAUCCAAUUCCACAAUAAUCCAACAGUUCCAAAGUGUCCAGGUGAUAUGAAUAUUUCCCAAAGUCUAUAGUUGAAAAACCACCUAAUGUUACCUAAUUAAAUUGCGAAGCAUCUACCUAAAAUUAAACUAGUGGUGCCAUGAGUAGAGUGUCCACUAGUUGAGGUUUUGUUUAAUCUAGGGUGAACAAGGUAAUAAUAAUAACAAUAACAAUAAUAAUAUGGUCAUAACAAAGGUAAAUAGGCAUGGCUAAAUAAAACAGUGAUAACGCGGGAAUUUAAAUAAAGCGAUAAUGCAAUAAUUUAAAUCAACAUAAUUUUAUAAACUGGGAUUCAAUAUGCUCAAAGAUGAUGUGACUUGCCUUGCUCGCUUUCCCAAACGUCGGCUUCAACUUCCACGAAGAGCGGAUCUUCCGAAGCUGCAGCGUCUACACGACCAACGGAAAAGAAAAAGGCUUUUACUCUAAUAAACUCCACAUAACAGCAGAAACAAAGCACAAAAAUGGGUUCUUGACUUCUUAAGGAAAAAUUAGAGACUUGAACGGUCCAAUUCCGAGUUCAAAUGGCCAAGAUAUGGCCAUUUGAAGUUUAUAUGCUCUUUAAAUGGAUAUUUGCGAAUUUCUUCAUUUAAAUUUUAAUUAAAAACUCAUCUAUUGCGUCAGCCGGGAGAGAGGGCGCGCGGACCGGGUCCACGGGAGUGGGGCCCACGCGUCAGCCUCUCGGUCCACGGUGGACCGGGCGCACGCGGCUGACGCCGGCCGGCGCCGUGGGUCCCACGCGUCAGCCGCACCCGCGGGCGCGGGCGGCUGACGGCCGGGCCCACCUGGCAGCCGCGGGGCGCGCCCGAAGGCGGCCUCGCCGGCACGGCCGACGGGAGGCGGCGCACCCGCGCCCCGAUGGUCGCCGGCGGCGACCUCCGGCGCGACGGAGCGGCGCCCGAGAGAGAGGAGGGAAGGGGGAAGCGAAAGGAGCGGUCCACGGCUCACCCCGGGUCGACGAGGACGGCGGAAACGACGACCGGAGCGGAGGAAGACGGUGGCGCGGCUCGGGUUGACGAGGACGGCGGCGUUCCGGCGGUCGGCGAGCGAAGCGGAGGGGUGGCCGAGGUCGACGAGAACGCGGCGAAGCCGAAGGAGGUGACGCCGAGUCGGGAGGAGGUCCGGAGCGACGACGGCGGCGAACCGGAGCUCGGCGGCGACGGCGGAGAGAGAGGACAACGGCGCGAGCUCGAAUCCGACGGGGAGAGUGAGCGGCGAGUGGCGGAAACGGAGGAGCGAAGCACGGGGAACGAUUAUAUAGCGUCGGAGGGAGAGAGGGUGGCCGGAGAGGAAGGAAUCGGCCGCGGAAAUCUUGGCCGCCAUUGAUUGCGCCGGCGAGGAUUGCGGGAGUAAAUCCGAGCGAAUCCGAGGGAGAGAGAGAGGGGAAAGCGGGGGGAAAGGGAGAGGGAUUCGCGGGGAAUAUUUCCCUCCACUUUAAUGCGCGCGGGGAUGGCGGGAUGCGGCGGAUUCGGCGGCGCGGCGGCGCUAGGGCACGGGCGGGCGGCGGGAGCGGCGCGAGGUAGGCGAUGACAGGUGGGCCCCACCCGUCAGCGAGGGUGGCGGGCGGGCCCACCUGUCAGCGGCGCGCGCGCGGGGGAAGGCCGAUGGGCCGCGGGGGAGAGGAGAGAGAGGGAGGGAGAGUUGGGCCGAGCCGGCCCAAGAGAGGAAGGGGGGGAAAGAGGACUUCUUUUAGGGAUUUUCUUUUUAUAAAACCUUUUUAACUUUGUUUAUUUCUUCUCAAUUAUUAUUUGUGCUCUGAAAAUUCCACUAAAAUUUAUUUACGCAUUUUAGGCUUUUAGGAAAUAUACAAAAAUCCUCCAAGCCUUAUUUGACUUUUACAUUUGCACAUUUUAAUUGUUGGAGGCUUUCACAUGGAUUUUACUUAUUCUUUGCAUAAUUUCGAGGAUGUAUUUUAGAGUCGUUUUGGGACGUGACAGUAUUACCGCAGGUUUAUUGAGAACUUUUCAAAGAUCGCCAGACCAAUGACUCGUCUACUUCAGAAGGAAGUGAAGUACAAGUGGACGGAGGAUUGUGAACGAAGUUUCCAAGUACUGAAGAAAAGGCUAGUGACUGCGCCUGUGUUAAUUUUGCCUGAUUCGAGGAAAGGUUUCCAAGUGUAUUGUGAUGCAUCCCGACUCGGUUUGGGUUGUGUGUUGAUGCAAGAAGGAAAGGUGGUUGCUUAUGCAUCUAGGCAAUUGCGUCCUCAUGAGAAUAACUACCCAACGCAUGACCUAGAGUUGGCAGCUGUGGUGCAUGCAUUGAAGAUUUGGCGUCAUUAUCUUUUCGGUAACCGUACAGAAAUAUAUACGGAUCAUAAAAGUUUGAAGUACAUUUUCACUCAACCUGAUUUGAAUAUGCGUCAGCGAAGAUGGUUAGAGUUGAUUAAAGACUAUGAUAUGGAAAUCCAUUAUCACCCGGGGAAGGCAAAUGUUGUAGCCGAUGCUCUUAGCAGGAAAAGCUACUGUAAUAUGUCAGAAGGUCAACGUUUACCUUGGGAGUUGUGCCAAGAAUUUGAAAAGUUGAACUUGGGAAUAGUCAGUAAAGGUUUUGUGGCCGCAUUAGAAGCUAAACCUACUCUGUUUGAUCAAGUUAGAGAAGCUCAAGUGAAUGAUCCUGAUAUCCAGGAAAUAAAGAAGAACAUGAGAAGGGGUAAAGCCAUCGGUUUUGUAGAAGAUGAGCAAGGAACUGUGUGGUUAGGAGAAAGAAUUUGUGUCCCAGAGAAUAAGGAGUUGAAGGAUACUAUCAUGAAAGAAGCACAUGAAACUUUGUAUUCCAUUCACCCUGGAAGCACUAAGAUGUAUCAAGACUUAAAGCUACAAUUCUGGUGGGCCAGUAUGCGACGUGAGAUAGCAGAAUAUGUGGCUCUAUGUGAUGUAUGUCAGCGGGUCAAAGCAGAACAUCAGAAGCCAGCCGGUCUGUUACAACCAUUGAAGAUUCCAGAGUGGAAGUGGGAAGAAAUAGGAAUGGAUUUUAUAACCGGUCUACCCAGAACGUCGGCAGGACAUGAUUCUAUUUGGGUAGUGGUUGAUAGGUUGACCAAAGUCGCUCAUUUCAUACCGGGUCAAAACAACUUACACGGGGAAAAAGCUUGCAGAGUUAUACACUGUGCCAGAGUGGAAUGUUUGCAUGGUGUUCCUAAGAAGAUAGUGUCAGAUAGAGGAAGCCAGUUUACUUCGAAGUUUUGGCAGAAGUUACAAUCAGAAUUGGGUACCCGUUUGAAUUUCAGUACUGCUUAUCACCCUCAAACAGAUGGUCAGACGGAAAGAGUAAACCAAAUUUUAGAAGAUAUGUUGAGAGCUUGUGUUCUAGAUUUUGGUGGAAGUUGGGAUAAGAAUUUGCCGUAUGCGGAAUUCUCAUAUAACCAUAGUUAUCAAGCUAGUUUGCAAAUGUCUCCGAAUGAAGCAUUAUAUGGUCGAAAGUGCCGUACGCCGCUCCUUUGGGAUCAAACCGGUGAACGUCAAGUUUUUGGGACUGACAUAUUGCGAGAGGCGGAAGAAAAAGUGAAGAUUAUCCAAGAAAGGUUGCGCGUUGCCCAGUCGCGUCAGAAGAGCUAUGCCGACAAUCGUCGCAGAGAUUUGGUUUUCGAAGAAGGAGAUUAUGUAUACCUUCGGGUCACGCCGUUACGAGGUGUUCAUCGUUUCCAAACCAAAGGGAAAUUAGCACCGCGUUUUGUAGGACCUUUUAAGAUCGUGAGUCGAAGAGGUGAAGUAGCUUAUCAGUUAGAGUUGCCUCCGUCAAUGGCGGGAAUACAUGACGUGUUCCAUGUGUCUCAGUUGAAGAAAUGUUUACGAGUACCUACGGAGGAAGCAGAUCCUGAUCGUAUAGAGCUUCAAGAAGAUUUAACUUAUGUUGAGAAGCCAGUUAGAAUUUUGGAAGUAAGUGAGAGGAAAACCAGGAAUCGUGUUAUACGGUUCUGCAAGGUUCAAUGGAGUAAUCAUUCGGAAGAAGAAGCCACUUGGGAGCGAGAAGAUGAAUUGAAGUCAGCUCAUCCUCAUCUGUUCGCUAGUUCUUCUGAAUCUCGAGGACGAGAUUCUGUUUAAGGGGGGUAGGUUUGUCACACCCUAAAAAUCUUAAAUAUAUAAAUUGUGGUUUAAUUGGAAUUUUUAGAAAUUAUUUUAAAAGCCUACAAGCUAAACCCUAAUUUUCUAGGAAAAUUUUCAACAUAAAAAUGAGCUAGAUAAAAUUUUAUUAAAUACUAUGCUUGCUCCUCUAUUUUCUAGAAUUUUCUGGGAAUUAUUUGAGUAAGGGAAGUAUUUUUAAUAAUUGAAACAACAUUUCACAAAUUGUUUUAUUCGAAAAAGUUCAAAAAUCCCCCUCUUAGGCCGUUGGGCCGUUUUCGGCCCAACUCUCCCUUUUCUCUCUCUCCCCACGCGCGGCCCACGCCGGCCCAAGCCGCCGCCGCCCGCCCCUCUCUCACGGAGGCCGACAGGUGGGGCCCACCUGUCAGGUCCGUCCCCGACCUCCGGCCGCCGCCGCGCGAACCCGAACCCUAGCCGCCGCUUCCCGCUCCGAUUGCGCCCAAAUCCGAGCCCAAUUCCUUUGGGAUUUUGAGGGGUUUUGUUCCUCUCGUUCUCCUCUUUCUUUUCCCCCAAGAAUCAAAGAGAAUCGUUGAGGAUUGGGUCCGAAUCGAGUUCGUUUUGGUUUUAUCCCUAAAACCGAGUUCGAUUUCUUCCCGAUUCGAUUCCUCCCGUUUGGAGCUCGAUCUCUUCAAUCCGAGCUCAUAUAAAGCUUCCCCUUGAUCUCCUCUUCCGUUUGCCCCCUCUCCCGAGUCCUCCCGUGCCUCCUAGCGCCGCCGCGACGCUCUCCAAGUCCGCCGCCGUCGCCGGCCGUCUUCGGCAACGCCGCCGCGCCGUCUCCGCCGUCGCCGUCGCUUGCCGUCAUCGCCAAGAGGUGCGCCGUGGUGCAAGGAAGCUCGGCCGCCCCUUCUUUCCUGCCGCCGACCACCGGAGCUCGCUCGUCGCCGUCGACCCGAGCCGCCGCCGUCUUCCUUCUCGUCGCCGGCCGCCGUCGUGCAUCGUUUCUCGUCGUGGUGAGUACCAACGGGUUCGUCUCGUUGUCCUCUACGUGUAGAUGGUCUCCGUUUCCGCCGCCAACCUCCCUAACGCCGGCGAGCUCGUCGACCCGAGCCGGCCGUCGUGCUGACGUCAUGCCGACGUCAUCGCAAGGGCUGACGUCAUCAUCCUUAGGGCUGACGUCAUCUCUCUCUCUUUUUCCUUUUUCUCGAUUUUCUAAUAGAUUAAAACUUCGGAAAAUCAUAACUAAAUAACCGUAGAUCCGUUUUAGGUGGUUCAAGUUUCUAAACUUUUCUAAAAUCAAGAUCUACAUGUUAAAAAUAUCCACAUGUACUGUUUAUGCUUGUUUUUGUACUGUUUUGUUGAUUUUGUUUAUUUGCUUUAGUUUCCGACGUUCCGGAGGAGAGCGUUUCCGUUGAGGAAGGUUCCGAAGCGUUUGUGGAAGCCCAAGGCAAGUCACACAGAUCCUAACCACAACCCUUUGAGCAUGUUGAUCCUAUAUUUAAAUUCUCUAUUUAUUUCAACUGUGCAUUUAUUUUCGAAUGUCACCGGGUGGUGUGAACCUACUCCUUUGUUAUAGCCAAUUUGCAUUGAAUGCCCUAUUCCUUGAUACCUUGGGUAAUAAAUUGAUUAGCUUGAACCUUAUAUAUUGGAUUGGUUCAGCUAAAUGCUAUAUGUAAGUUUGCUUAGCUAUGCUUAGAAACAUUAGCUAACUAAAGGGGAUUAAUUAUAAACUAUGUUACAUUAUUAUUAUUAAUUAUGGUUACAUUUAAUGGUAGCUCACGAUGGUAAAUCGUGUGAUGUUAAUUAAUUGAUAAUUAAAACCUGGUUAAGGUGGGUUGUGAGCAUAUGGUUUUGAUGGUUGUGCUCAUGACAAUUAAGGACCGGUUCGCGAGCUACUGUUGUGAAACAUUUAUCGUGCCAACCACAAGCCAGCGUGGGCAACCGGCUUUAUCUUUUGUAUAGCGUGAUUCAUUAUAGUGCGCCAGACUGAGAAGUGGCGAGAAGUCCAUGGGGGUCGCUGGGGAGUCCAUGCCUUGUUUAUAAGGGGGUGAUUAUGAUCCAGGUACGGUGCACUUGUGGUGAAUUGUGUUAUGCGAGGGGUAUUGUCACCGACUCCUUUCCGAGGUAUCGUGGUGGUACUGAGGCACAUGGUGACAUGAUGUGGGGUUGUGUCUUGUGGGUACAGUGGUACACCUCUGAUCAGAGUUUAAAACUAUUCGAAUAGCCGUACCCGCGGUUAUGGGUGAGUUGAGCAAUGUUUUUCGUGAUUAGUCUCACACUACUCAUUAUUGGUGAAAAGGUGUAAUUGAUUUAAUUCCUGGUCUGGAAUGGCUAAUUCCUGGUUUGGAGGUUUAAUUUGUUCAAUUGGGGUUGGUUGUUCAAAUGUGGUUGGGCCUAUGCAACACGGGUGUGUUGUAUGGUGUUUAUUUAAUAUUGAUUAAUUAUUCAACUGUUUUACUAUUCUCUUAAAUAUUUAUUAAAUGUUGUUUUCUGCAAAUGAGCUAUAUUAUGCCAUCCUUUGUUAUCCUGUGCACUUGCAUAUUUGCUGUGUGGCUUGUUGAGUAUGUUAUAUGCUCAUUGUUGCAAUAUUCAUUCAUCAGAAGAGGAGUACUUCAGUGAAGGUGAUGAUCUGGAGGACUAGGCUUGUUCUUGGUUAAGUUGCCUGUGGAGUGGAGUCGCCAUCGCUGUUCCGUAGUUUGCCAUAGUUUUAUUUUCCGCUGCGUAGAAUGUUAUUUUUGUUUGAGAGGAACUAUCCACCUCUGUAAUAAUUUAUUAUUUUCGAAUAUUCCAUAGUUAAAUAUUUGUACUCUAUUAUCAAUAUUGUCAUUGUGUGCCUCGGUUGAUUCCUGGACGAGGGCUUAACACACAUGUAAGCGUUUGGAAUUUUGGAUAGAAAUUCCGGGCGUGACAGUGUAGCUGAUCCCUAACCACUUCAAGGGCCCCUAAAUGAGGAACCGGCUUUUCUAAAGUUGUGGUUUUGGCCUCAUUACGGAGAUGGAUUCUCUAUGCAAUGAUUCACUGUUUAGUCUUGCUGAGAAGGAAACAAGGUCGCCAAAGGCAGCCACCUGGAAGACUUACAUUUACAAUGCGGGUAGCUUCUUCCGAGUGCUUUCUUUAGCUGGCGCACCUCUUCGUCUUCUUUCUGUCGAUUUAUGACAAUGCCUGCAGGUUGCAAGUUGUCGUCCCACCAUUUGAUUAAGAUGGGGGGACGAGAAUCAGUAGUUGCCUUUAUGCGAGGGAUUUCUUCUCCGUCACCGCCUAGUGGUCCUGAUGUAUUCCCAAACAUUAGACAAGCAAGUCGGAGUUAUUCAGAUUGGCAUUACUUGAGAAGAUGGGUUACCUGAAGCAAUUUCCGGUUGAGCGUGAGGCGAUCCUUGCCCUUUAUCUGGGGACCCAGGCGUUGGGUCGUUACCAGCGUCCAGUCCUUGGGAAGUUGUAGCCUGAACUUCAACUUCAGGAAUUUCUUGAUCUGGACCUACUUCCGAUUGAUUGCCAGUCGGGGGCUCUUGGCUUGUUGCAGUUUCCGCUUCUGCCAACUGGUUUCCAGUCGGGGGCUGGUCGCUUGGGUUGACAUAAUCAGUUGAAGUCUGAACGCCAGUCGGGUGGUCCUCAGAAGUCGGCCCAGCUUCUUUGGAUGAACCUGUCUCUGUGUUAGCUGGAUCAGAGUCCUUCCCGGAUGGAUCUAUGUCAGACGGUUUCCUGCAAGUUUUCUUCCAGUUUUCAAUAUUAUCUUCAUGAGAGAAGCAUGUCGAAGUGAGAUGGUACCGAAUGGUUUAUACCUGGAGGAUUUUCUGAACUUUUUCUUCUUCGGAGCAGUGUGCUUUGGUAGUUUUUUGGGUGAUCCCUUAUCCCCAAAUUUAUUAUUGUCGUCGCCUUCGUCGUCGCUUAGCACAAGUUUUCUCUUGCGAGAAUCUGAUUGCCCAGUCGGAUUGGGAGUUUUGGAUUGGGAGUCUGACCUGAUUUUUGGUCCUCCACUCCCCUGAACGGUCUGAUGACGAGGAGAUCGGCGUUGAGCAAUUGGGGGGUCAGACUUCAUCAAAGCAAAUUCCUGAAUGAAAUGCCUCCACGGUCUGUUAAUUCAACAAGAAGACAAAAUUAUGUUUUGGUCGCGGUUUGAAGAGUUCUGAUACAUACCAGCGGAGAUGGGUUGAAUGCAUUAUAUGGCACGACUGGCAGCAGAUGCAAAUAACUGACAACGAUGGCGUUUGAGAAUAUCUUGUACAUCCUCUCCUUCAUGAUCUUAAGUCCAGAGAAUCUGGGUCUUCACGGUUUGGAUCAUGUUUACCAUCAAACUCGAAAGCUGUGCGGGAUCUCUCUUUGAUUGGAGCUAAUCGGCACUUAAUGAAAUGCCGAGUGAUUUGCUCUCCCUGCAAGCCUUGCUCCUUGAGCUUCAGCAUGCGCUCCAUCAGUUCUAAGGCUUGGGCAGCUUCAUCUCCCAUGGGCAGUGAGUUCCAAUUAUCUUGGUAUACUAGGGGAAGACAGGAGUACUCGGGAAGAGCGGGCUCGGGAUUUUGGACAUAAAACCAGUUGGCAUGCCAUCCUUUGUUUGAGGUCUUGAAGGGCAUAGAAAAAUACUUUUGGCUCAAGGUCCCUCUCAGUUGAAAUCCAGCCCCUCCAACUACGCAUGGUUUGCUUUUGUUCGGUUGGGGCUUGAGGAAGAAGAUUCGGCGGAACAGAGCAAAAUGAGGCCUAAUGCCCAAAAAAGCUUCGCAGACAUGGACGAAAUUUGCAAUAUGGACUAUGGAGUUUGGAUUCAAAUGAUGUAAAUUGAUUCCAUAGAAGUUCAAUAUCCCACGGAAAAACUUCGAGGUUGGAAGAGCAAAUCCGCCAUAGAAGAAGUGAGAAAAAAACCACGACCUCAUGUGUAUCGGGGGUCAGGAAAGCUUCACCAAAUGCUGGCCGCCAUCCGAUGAUCUCCUUUGCUGGGAGAACGCCGUGCGCCACCAUCUCCUUCAAGUUCUCCUCCAUCAAGUCGGACGACGCCCAUUGGCUUUCAAAGCUUUCUUUUUCUUCCGCCAUCGAUUUGAUCCGAAUGAGUUGAUUUGAUUCGAGGGAUGGCUGGGGAGAGAUGUGGAAUUGAAGCGAUGAGUUGCGUGGAGGAUUUUUGUGAACUUUUUGGAGGUGGAUUGGAGUGGAAUGGUGAACCCUAGUUUCGCCGGCGCAGCUCUGUACUAUAGCAAGGAAUGGGGGAAAUGGUGAGAGUUCCGGCGGGGAAGACGAAGCGCCGCUUAGACUUCGGGAUUUUUUGUUAAGGGUUUCGGGGGUGCUAAUGUGCCUAGGCCUGAACAGUACUUCAGCCCAAUAUUAUUAACAGCGUGGCCCGUUGUGCUCCUUAGGGACUUAGGCAUUUUUGCUUUGGCAAUUUAUGCUCGCAAUGGUGUGGCCCAAUGCUGAUAAAAUCCUUUUUAAUGCAGUUAUAUAAUUCUUCGGAAUUAUUGCAAUGCAAAUUGAAAUGUACUCGACAGAAAAGUGUUAUACUAUUUUUGUAAGCUUUUUUAGGCUGCAAAAGCUAUCUGGGUUGAUUUGAGAUGACUUGUUUUUACAAUGGUCAUUCUCUUGGCGUGUUAUAUGCCUAUUUUAAUUAUGGUGAGAGUCAUAGCCUAGGCUAUUAGACUUAUUAAUUACCAUAAUUUUUAUAACAUUUGAUGGAUUAUCUUUAGAGUUUUUUACUCGGAUGCCUGUCAAAUAUGUUCAUUUGUGAACCUUUUAGAGUGUUAUUCACUCGGAUUCUUUUUACUAUGGCUGGAAAGCAGUCGGCUGAAUGUUUUGUUGGACGCCGCAUAUGCUUUUGUCAUAUGAUGCAUGAUUAUGCGAUUAUUUUGUUCUUGACUACAUGUUUAGUUUGUUAACUAAUCAUAUAGUCGGGGGCAACACCUAAUUAGGUGCAUCUAUUCGAUGCACCAUGUUUUUUAUUUUUCGCCCUUUACAGUCUUCGUCUUUGCUACUCGGCAGGCCUUAGCAGGGAAAAAUUAAAGCACUCGGAUUAUUAUUUUUGAGAGAGCUAUGUUGUCGACUGCAAAGGUCUCGGGGGCUACUGUGGAGAUUAUAGAUACCCCAUAUUUACACGGCGGUUAUAUUUAGACUGGAUAUAUGAUACCGAAUAUAGAUAGAAUAUCUUUAUUUGUAUCUCGGGUUUGUUUCUUAACUUGUACGUCAAGGAAAUACCCUGAGGUUUAGUCGGUUACGAUUGUAUUUUAUCUGUAUUCUCGUAUUCUGUUAGGGGUAUGAGUUAUACCUUGUAAUACGGACUCCUUCCUCUAUAUAAGGAGGGGUCCGAGUCCUUCCUGGGACAUCAAUUUUCUGGGAGAUCUUACAUUCAAUAAUACACUCGGCGGUUUCAUCCCCGGACAGGAGUAGGGUAUUACUUCUUGAAUAAGAAGGCCUGAACCUGUAUAAAUCCUUUGUCUCCAAACCCAUGCACUUUUCCAGCUUGAUAGCCACCCCCUUUUAGUAUUGCCGAAAUCUUGUUUCGACACAAACCCUGCAUGGAAGCUGCUACAAAAAGAAACAAUGAGAAUGAAGGAACCCAAAUCCAGCCACUCAAAGGAAGUUAAAAGUUCAACCAAUGGCGAAAGAACUGUUGUCUUCUUGGGUCAACGGGCAAGGUUGGGGAAGAGGAAACCUGCAAAAGAGGGCUUGAGGAAUCUGGCUUGGGAGGGCUAUCAACCACCGAAUCGUGAGGAGAUGGGUGGUGGAGGUUGAGCUUUGGGCAUAUCAGCGGUGGGGUCAACAAUGACAUCGUCACAGCAGAGGACGACCCGAGCAACAAUGGCAUCGUCAUAGGGGGCGGCGAGCUGCAAGAUCGCCACCGCCGUCCCAAGCUGCCCGAACCGCAAGCGGAUCAAACCUCCUCCACACGGGCCUCCUCUAGCUUGGCCUCCUUCUCAUUCUCCACGCUAGUCUGUGAGGUAUGCAAGAGCUUGCAUCCCCGGCAACUGUAGUGCCCCAAUUUUCGUUCGGGAUUAAAAAAUCAUUUAAUAAUGCAUUUUCUAGAAUUUAAAUAAAAAUUAAAUCAAUUUAAUCAAGAGAAUUAUUGAGGAAAUUAAAAUUUCCUUUAAAAAUCAUUAGCCGGGAAUAUUUUGUAAUAUUCUUUGUGCCCUAAUAUACUCUCUCAAAUUUCCCGCGAAUUUUCGCAGCUCAAGAAGUAAUUUUAAUAGCACAAAGUUCAUUUAAUCAAUUAGAAUAUAAAGAAAACCAAAUAAAUCUCUCCUUCCUCCCUUGGGCAAUUUUCAGCUCAAGCCUUCCUUCUCUCUCCCGCGGCCCGCGCGCCUCCUUCUCUCGGGUCGGCCCAGCUCGCUCCCCCCUCCAAGUCUAUUCCCCCCCCUCAAACCGGUCUCUGCUCUCCUCAGGCCGACAGGUGGGACCCAUGGGCCCCACCUGCCAUCCCCAAUCCCCAGCCAUCCCAAGCCCAACCACGCCAUGCCGCCAUGCCGCCCACGACGCCGCCGUUUUCACAACCUCUCACUCGCGCGCUCGCAUCCAAACCGAGAGCAACCGCAACCCCUCCACCUCCUCCACACUCUCCUCACGUUUCCCCCAAAAAUCACGCCGGGAUGGAGCUCCAUUUCGCCCACGAUGUCGCCCACGUCGCCGGCCGUUGCCGCCCCAAAACAGCCACUCCCCGGCCUCCCCGUUGCUCCCUCGUGCCAUAAAGAGCCUCCCCGUGCAAGUUUUUCUUUUUUAAAAAAAGAAGGCAAUUACAUAAUAAAGUGACAACAUGAGAAUUUGCACUCAGCACUCGAUCAGCAGCUCUUGUAAGAACCAAGCAUGCAUGCGUGCUUGCUUACGAGAUAUUGUCAGCAGUUAAGGUCAUGCAUGGCUCACCCUGCUACCCUUCAAUCAGCAGUGGUGCCUCAUCACAGUCAUAGCGAUUGCCCGCCGCCGGCGCACUGGAGGCGUCUUCCUCUGUCGUUGAUGCCAAAGUAGUGUUGACGACGAUCAAGCUGUUAAGGGCAGGCAACGGUCCGUCACGCUCCAGGACAUCCAUAGCUUGCCGCAUAGAAGGGCGGUGUUGAGUCUCCAAAGCAGAGCACCAGAGCCCCAAUACGAUGACACGCUCUAUCUCUCUCAUAUCAAGGCCACCACCAAUGGUUAACCUUGUAUCCGCCGCCUCGACAACAUUGCCACCUCUUCGGUAUAGGUCCCAGAUUUGCUCCCUGUGCCUCCUUGCGCAGGCGAUCUCGAGAAGGGCGAUGCCGAAGCUGUACACGUCUGAGCUACGCUUGAACGGGACCUUACCGUGUUUCAGACACUGUGGAUCAAGGUACCCUUCCGAGCCUAUGGCAGUUGUCAGCAACGUUGCAUUGUCUUGGUUUGCCAUCCUCGAUAGGCCAAAUUCGGCGAGCUUGGCGUUGAAAUUUUCAUCCAAGAGUACAUUGCCUGGUUUGAUGUCUCUAUGCAGGAUAUGUGGGUCGCACUCGUGAUGUAGGUAGAGCAGACCCGAUCUAAUGUCCUUGGCUAUUUUGUACCUGUUUGAUCGAUCAUGGUUAGAUAAAUACAUAGAUUGACUAUAAACAUUCUUAGUUAAUUUAAUGCCAACAGAAACCAUACUUUCAAAGCAACAUAUAUAUAUUAUAGUGGAUUUUAGUGUUGUGCUUGUCGGUUUUUUAAGACAAACCACAGUAGGAUGGUAAUUUAUGAUUUGUUAACACUAGUACAGAUCCUUCUAUCUGUGAUGGGCUCUAAUCUGCUUAGAAAUAGCGGCCCGUCAUAAGAAAGUCAUCUCAAUCGGGCCGAAAAGUGCCCGAUUGAGAUAUGGUCGUACAGACAUGUUAGAUGGGCAUAAAACUUAAGCCCGUCAUGAAUGACACCUAUCAAUGACGGGCCGUAGUUUAGGCCCGAUUGAGAUAACAUUCCAUAUCUCGGCCUCAAGUUGUGGCACGUCACGGAUGACCAUCAUCCGUGACGGGCCAUAACUUGAGGCCCGUUUGAGAUAACAACAGGCCCGUCACAGAUGACUCAUUAGUGACGGGCUAUAUACUUAAUCUCUAUCGGGCAUUAACUAAAGCCCGUCACCGAUGACUAUUUUUAUAUUUUUCAUAUGAAAUGUUUAUAUUUGUAAGUUGACUAUAGGAAAAUAAUUAAGUGCAGUAUAAUAAUUCAUUUUAUGAGUCAAAACAAUUUUACGGGUAGUAAAUGAUUUCAAAUGGAAAAAAUGUCAACAAUAAAGUUGUAUAACUUAUCAAGAUUUUCAACUUUUAGUUUGGUCAUUUUUCUAUAUAACAUUUCUUUUGAACAGUUUGAAUUUAAAUUUGAAAAUAUGACAACUUCAAACAACAUUUUUAAAUACUAAAUGAUUUCAAUUGAAAAAGUCAUCAACAACAAAGUUGAAUAACUCAUCAAGUUCUAAAACUUUUAUUUUUGUUAUUUCUUCAUCCGAAGAAAUGUUAGUAAUAUUAUUCACAAAUUUUACAUAUAUGUGUUAUAGUUUAUAAACGAGAUAAGAGAUAUGUCAAUUUUGCGAACAAUGUUACUAUCACUUUGUCGUAUGAAGAAAUGACCAAAAUAAAAGUUUUAGAUCUUGAUGAGUUAUUCAACUUUGUUGUUGAUAACUUUUUCAGUUGAUAUAUUUUUGUAUUUGAAAAUGUUGUUUGAAGUUGUCAUAUUUUUAAAUUCAAAUUCAAACGGUUCAAAAAAAAUGUUAUAUAGAAAAAUGACCAAAAUAAAAGCUGUAGAUGUUGAUGAGUUAUACAACUUUGUUGUUGAUGACUUUUUCAGUUGAAUCGUUCACUGAUCUAAAAUUCUAUUUGAACUUUUCAAAAUUUGAAUUUCAAAUUGUAUAAAUAGAGUUAGAUGGAGAAAUGACCGAAAUAAAAAUUUUGCACCUCGAUGAGUUCUACAACUUUGGUUUUGGUGACUUUUCCAUUUGAAAUCAUUUAAUAACCCCAAUUUGACAUCCUGGGCUAGGGCUUAAUAGGAUUAAUAGAAUACCCAUACCAAACUUGUUGAAAAGCCUUUCUAAGAUUCUCCAUCUUCCUCCCUUGGUAAGAACCCUUCGACUUGUUGUUGUUGGACUUGUUGUUGUUGGUCUUCUCACCAUCUUUGUCUUCUUUUUUGCCUCUCUCAAACUUAGGACAAUGCGAACGAAGAUGAUCAAUUGAACCACAUUCAAAGCAACGAUUUGGACCACCUCUUUUCCUGUUCCUGGCAUUAUUCAUAGCUCGAGCAAUUCUGUUAGCAACCAAAGCCAAAUCCUCCUCCUCGAUUUGUUCGAGUUGAUCAUCGGAUGUGGCAUUAAUAACAGCAAGAAAAGACGACUUAGAUGAAGAGGCAUCAAUAUCCAAAGAAGAAGAAGAAGAAACCAAAGCACUCGAUUUAGAAUCAACUUUUCGAGAAAGAACAUUCAUCUCAUGUGUUUUCAAUUUAGUAUAAAGUGAAUCCAAAGUCAAAGUAUACAUGUUAACAGACUCCUGAAUAGAUGCAACUUUCAUCUCCCAAAUAGACAUGUCGAGACCAUUCAAAAAGUGAUGAGAAAUCUCAGAUUGUGGAUAAUUAGCAUCAUAAGAAGAAUCAACAGAUCUAAGAUCACUCAAAAUUUUAUUAAACCUAGAAAGAUAGUCAUCCAAAGCUUUUCCAGGUUUCAUAUCAAAUUUAAUGUACUCCUUUUUAAAAAGAUCUCGACGAAGCUCUUUAAUGUUAUUUGUUCCUUGAUGAAAAUUACUCAAAGCAAUCCAAAUCUCAUGAGCAGUUUGAAGAUGAACAACACGAUCAUAAUCCGAACAAGAAAUACCACUCAAAAGAAUGUUGCGAGCUUUGCAAUUUUGUUCAAAAGCAGUUUUUUCAGCAGCAGUAUUAAUAGCUUCAGGAAUCACAUAAGCAUGAGAAACUUUUCUCCAAAUAUCAUAAUCUUCAGCCAUAAUAUAAGAUUGCAUCCUACUACAUCAAUGAGAAAAAUCCGUUCCAUCGAAAACAUGAGGCUUAGUUGAAAACCUAGCGGGAGUAGCCAUGGCAAAAACUCUAGAUCGGUAAAAAUCCAAAGAAGAAAACAAGGCUCUGAUACCACUUGUAGGAUCGAAUCACAAGAACUAAGCCAACCAGAGGGGGGGUGAAUGAUUGGUAUACCCAAAAACUGAAAACUUUUAGUGGAAAUAAAAGUUACCCUCGAAAUCGAAGAAAGUCGGUCUGACCGAGAUUGAUCUGCCGGUCUGACUGAGUGGAUGCCACCGGUCUGACCGCCGAGAUCGCCUGCUGCGCCUGUCGCCGCCGCCGGUCUGCCCGCCUGUAUGCUGUCGGUCUGACCGCCGCUUGCCGCUGGCCUGUCACGCCCGGAAAUUCACUAGUAAUUUCCGAACUUAUUUGUGCAUAAAAUCCUCGUCCAGGAAUCAGCCGAGGUACACAAACUGACAAUUUAAUAUACAGAUUCAUCAAAUUAACUAGAACGAUAAAUACUUACUUAUGAGGCACUUAGUCCUCACCAAGAAGAAAACUGCAGCGGAAAAUAAAAUCUAGCGAAGCUCCAGCUCCACUCCCACAGGCAGCUCAACUGGGGUAUAAGCCAAACGUCUUCUCCUUCUGGAUCCUUUUUCUUCAACUGAGGUUGAUUGAUUAUUGCAAGGUGAGCAUAUGACAUACUCAGCAAGCCACACAGCAAAUAUGCAAGUGCACAAGGAUACCAAAGGAUGGCAUAAUAUAGGCUCAUUUGCAAAAGCAGCAUUUAGCAAAACAUUUAAAAGAAGUAAAACAGUGGAGUAAUUAAUCAGAAAUUUUAAUCAACACUGAACAACACGCCCAUGCUGCACAGGCCCAACCAUUCUAAACAACCAUACCCGGCUGAACAAAUCUAACUCCAAACCAGGAGCUAAGCAAAUUAUUACCAGGUAUAACAUCCAUAAUUAUUGUGAGAGGUGUGAGACUAAUCACGAAAAACAUUGCUCAACUCGCCCAUAACCGCGGGCACGGCUAUUCGAAUAGUUUUACUCUGGCCAGAGGUGUACCACUGUACCCACAAGACACAGCCUCAACAUCAUGUCUACCAUGCGUCGCGAUACUGGAAAGUACCCGAAUAGAGGCUGUGACAAUACCCUCUGCACAACACAACUCACCACAGUGCACCAUUCCCGGAUCAUAGUCACCCCCUUAUAAACAAGGUAUGGACUCCCCAGCGACCCCCGUGGGCUUAUCUCCGCCACUUCUCAACCUGGUGCUCUGCAGUGAACCAUGCUAUACAAAAGGUAAAGCCGUUGCCCACGCUGGUUUGUGGUUGGCACGGUUAAUGUUUCACAAUAGUAGCUCGCGAACCGGUCCUUAAUUGUCAUGAGCACGACUCUCAAAACCAUGUGCUCACAACCCACCAUUAUCCAGUUUUAGUUGGCAAAUAAUUAAUUAACCAAUCACAAGUAAUUAAUUAACCAAUCACAAUUGACCAUCGUGAGCUACCAUUAAAUAUAACCAUAAGUGAUAGUGAAACAUUAGUUAUCCCAAUUGUGUGCUAAUGUUUCUAAGCAUGGCAAAGCAAUUACCUCUAAUAUCUAGCUGAACCAAUAUAUAAAGCUCAACUAGUCAAAUUAUAAUCUCCCAAGGUAACAAGGAAUAAAGUAAUCAAGAACAAAAGGGCCAUAACAAAGAAUAGGUUAAUUCCACCCAAUGACAUUCGAAAAUAAAUGCACAGUUGAAAUAAAUAGAGAAUUUAAAUAUAGGAUCAACAUGCUCAAAGGAUUGUGUUUAGGAUCUGUGUGACUUGCCUUGCAAUAAUCGGUCUUCAAUUAAUCUUCUUGAAUACUUCCGGCGCACUCGCGAACCUUCGCAACGACGGAAACGACAAGCUAACACGCAAAAUGAAGAAAAAGACUAAUAAAAACCAAAUAAACAGUACAUAAAAAGUAAACAAACAUGUAGAUCAUAAUUUUAGAUGAUUUAUGAGACUUGAACGGCCUCAUUCUGACUUCAAAUGAAUUUAUUAUGAAUUUUACAAGAUUAAAUCUAUUUAAAGCCCAUUUAAAAAGAAUUAAAUAAAUUUAAUUCAAUUUAUGGACAAUUUUAAAAUGUAGAUCUUUAUUUUACACAACUUUUGCAACUUGAACCACAUUAAACUGAGUUCAAAUGAAUUAGUUAUGAAUUUUUAAAGAUUAAAUCGGAUUAAAACACUUAUAUUGAUUUUAAUUGAAUUAUGACGCCAUAAUGAAUUAUUUUUGAAAAGGAAAAGAAGGAUUAUUGCGUCAGCGGCUAGGGUUUGCGGUGGACCGGGUGCACGGCAGCGGCUCACGGAAACGAACGGCCGAGAUCAACCCUAUCCAAAACGGACGGCCGAGAUCAAACGGUCCACGACCGGCUUACGGCGGACGAUCCCGAUGACGUCAGCGAUGACGGCAGCGAUGACGUCAGCACCGGCGGCGACUCGGGCGGCUCGGGCGCGCAUGCUCGCCGGCGAACGACGGCACGUCGGCGCGAACGGAGGGCACCAACGGGUAGAGGGCGACGCGGCGAACUCACCGGUGACCAAAACAACGGCGGAAGGGCAACGGACGGCGCCGGCGACGAGGAAGAAGCGGCGGCGGAGAAGCGGACGAGGACGGCGGCGACUUGACGACCACGAUGGCGGCGACGGCGACUGACGACGGCGGCUGCAACGGCGGCGCGACGCGGCUGAACCGACGGCAACGACGGCGGCGACUAGGGCUACGCGGAGGCGGCGCUAGACGCGACGGCAGGCUAAGGCAAAGGUGGCGGCGGAUAGAGGAGAGCUCGGGGGUCCUUUUAAAGGGGCUAGCGAGCGGCGAUGGAGGCCCACGGCGACCGGCGACGGCGAAGGAAAGCUAGGGUUCGGAGGAGAGAAGAAUCCGAUUCGACCUCGAUUCCAUCGAGUUUCCAAACCGAAUUAGGUGACGAUUCCAAAAGAGAAAAGGAAGAGGGAAUCAAGAGGAUCAUUUCCCCUCUAUCAAUUCGGCCGGAGAUGGAAAGGAGCGACGGAAUUGGAAAGCGACGGCGGCGCGGCUCGGCUAGGGUUUGCGGGCGGCGGCGGCCGAAGGAGGAAGACGGCUCCGACAAGCGGGCCCCACCUGUCAGCGACAGCGAGAGAGAGAGGAGAGCGGCGGCUCGGCGGACUGGGCCGGACUGGGCCGAGGAGAGAGAGAAGAGAGGUUUUGGGCCGGCUUUCGGCCAAAGCCAAAAGAAGACUUUUUAAAACCUUUUUCAAUUUAAAUUAUUUCUUAAAUGCAAUUCCAUUUAUUAAAAAUACUUCCUUAGCUCAAAUAAAUCCCAGAAAAAUCUAGGAAUUAUAGAAUUAAGCAAAGUAUUUAACAAAAUUUUAUCUAGCCCAAUUUUAUAUUGAGAUUUAGCAAAUUAAAAUUAGAUCUUCUCCUUUAGGCUUUUAAAAUCAUUUCUAAUUAUUCCUUUUAAACAACAAUUUAUAAUUUAAGGAUUUUAAACCAGAAAAGCUCUUAACAAUUAUAAUUAGAUCAUUAAUGAUCAAAUAAUUACUGAACUGUUCUUUGUAUUAUUUAAGAAUUGAGCUCUGAAAAAUCCGAGAAAAUUUCAGAGAGUAUAAUUAACCAUGGAGAAUCAAAUAAUUACUGAACUGUUCUUUGUAUUAUUUAAGAAUUGAGCUCUGAAAAAUCCGAGAAAAUUUCAGAGAGUAUAAUUAACCAUGGAGAAUUUAAUAAAAAUUAAAUCCAUCCAUGCUUUAUAUUUAGGAAAUUUUAUUUCCCACAUUUAACUUCACUUGUAAAUUAAAGAUCAUUUAAUAUAAAUUAUAUUAUUAAUUUAUUAAAUAAUUUAUAAAUCCUGAAACAAAAAAUCAGGAUGUGACAAACUACCCCCCUUACAAAGAAUCUCGUCCCGAGAUUCGGAACGGCUAGAAAGAAAAAGGGAAUAGGCAAACUGCAGUCUAUCUUAUUCCAUCACUCCGAUAAUUAUUCUAAGGCUUUAAAGAAAACUACUGCUGCUUUGAAACUGGUGGCUGAGUUGUAACACUUGAAGACACAACUCUUGAAGACGCAACUGGCACUGCAUUGGCUCCUGUGACGACAAUGUUGUUGACUUGACCUUGUGGCUGCGGAUGCUUCGGCUUCGGACACUCUCUAGCAAAGUGGCCUGGCUUGUAACAGUUGAAGCAUACCUGCUGCUCCCUUCCACUACUGUUAUUCGACUGAUCUUGCUGAACUGGCACCGACUGAUUAGCUUGCUCGAUGUUAAGUUCAUUGCUUUCAUUAGUCUCUAAUUUGAUCUCACCACCGAUGUUCAACUGCUGCGACUGUCCUUGACCAGCGGAAGAGGAUUCACCAAUUUGGAGUGGCUUGAUACGCUGCCUCUGGCUACUACCUUGUGCCUCCUGGAAAACAGUCAUUUUCCUUUUACGGUUAUCCAUCCUGUUCUUCUUGUCUUCAAGUCGAAUUGCUUUGUCAACCAACUGCUGAAAAUCAACAUAGUCAUGGGAGAUUAACGUAACUGAUAGUUCAUCCUUCAGACCUUCCAGGAACUUCUCCUGCCUUUCCUCGUCAGUACGCACAUCUUCUGGAGCAUAACGUGCCAGACGAUUGAACUCAUGAAGAUAUUCUGCCACGGUUUGAUCCUUUUGCUUCAAUGCCCUGAACUCACGCUUCUUCAAAGAAACAACUCCUGUAGGUAUGUGUGUCUUCUUGAAUGCCUCCGUGAACUCCACCCAAGUGAUUGGUUGUCCUUCUGCUCUGUUCAUCCGGAAAUGAUCCCACCAUUCUGAUGCAGGUCCUUGCAACUGAUGUGAAGCGAAAACAACUUUCUCCUGAUCCGUGCACUGGAGCAGUUCCAACUUCUUCUCAAUAGCGUGCAGCCAAUCACCUGCUUCCACUGGGUUGGUUGUGCUAGAAAAGGUAGGUGGCCUCACACGAAGAAAAUCAGCUAACUUGUUCUGCGGCGGUGGAGCAUUGUUAUUUCCUUGGUUGAGCUGGUUCUGCAUCUGUUGUAUCAUCAUGUUCAUUAACUGAGUCUGUUGAGCCAGAACUUGAGCAAGAGUUGGGUUAUCUUCAUUGUUAUUGUUUCCACUUCCACUUGCGCGAGUGUUCACCAUCUGUUGCAGAUUAGAGAAGAUAGAAGGAGAGGGGUUACACUAAAGACAAGACCUUAACCAGGUUAAAACUGAUCUGAUGUGUGUAGACCAUUAUAUUGUUCAAGUUGAUUAAGCAAACAACCUAGUAUAGUUACACACUCAUCAUUGAACUACUCCAAUGAUGGGAAUGCAACCAUACCUACACACAAGCAAACAACAAACGUUCUACCCUACUAACUAUUCUUCAAAGACACUUUGGCGGCAUAGGUUCUAAGAUAGGAUCCAAACUUCAUUCCAUCUUGACCACUUGGCUCUUCAGAUCGACCAUCACCUUCUUAUUCAUCGAUCCACUUGACUUAACCUCCAUAAGUUGCCCACAUCAGCAUCUUCUAGUUUCAACCACUAGUUUUAGAACUACUCAAGUUGAACGAGAGAGGAGAGUAGACAAUGAAACAAUUUGCAAAGAAUUCUAGAUAAGGAAGAAAGGAGAAAUUUUCACAAAUCAUGUUUUCGGAAAAUUAGUCCUUAAGGUUUGACCAUUUGGCUUAUCCUACAGUCGAGAUGGCUCUGAUACCAACUUGUCACGCCCGGAAAUUCACUAGUAAUUUCCGAACUUAUUUGUGCAUAAAAUCCUCGUCCAGGAAUCAGCCGAGGUACACAAACUGACAAUUUAAUAUACAGAUUCAUCAAAUUAACUAGAACGAUAAAUACUUACUUAUGAGGCACUUAGUCCUCACCAAGAAGAAAACUGCAGCGGAAAAUAAAAUCUAGCGAAGCUCCAGCUCCACUCCCACAGGCAGCUCAACUGGGGUAUAAUCCAAACGUCUUCUCCUUCUGGAUCCUUUUUCUUCAACUGAGGUUGAUUGAUUAUUGCAAGGUGAGCAUAUGACAUACUCAGCAAGCCACACAGCAAAUAUGCAAGUGCACAAGGAUACCAAAGGAUGGCAUAAUAUAGGCUCAUUUGCAAAAGCAGCAUUUAGCAAAACAUUUAAAAGAAGUAAAACAGUGGAGUAAUUAAUCAGAAAUUUUAAUCAACACUGAACAACACGCCCAUGCUGCACAGGCCCAACCAUUCUAAACAACCAUACCCGGCUGAACAAAUCUAACUCCAAACCAGGAGCUAAGCAAAUUAUUACCAGGUAUAACAUCCAUAAUUAUUGUGAGAGGUGUGAGACUAAUCACGAAAAACAUUGCUCAACUCGCCCAUAACCGCGGGCACGGCUAUUCGAAUAGUUUUACUCUGGCCAGAGGUGUACCACUGUACCCACAAGACACAGCCUCAACAUCAUGUCUACCAUGCGUCGCGAUACUGGAAAGUACCCGAAUAGAGGCUGUGACAAUACCCUCUGCACAACACAACUCACCACAGUGCACCAUUCCCGGAUCAUAGUCACCCCCUUAUAAACAAGGUAUGGACUCCCCAGCGACCCCCGUGGGCUUAUCUCCGCCACUUCUCAACCUGGUGCUCUGCAGUGAACCAUGCUAUACAAAAGGUAAAGCCGUUGCCCACGCUGGUUUGUGGUUGGCACGGUUAAUGUUUCACAAUAGUAGCUCGCGAACCGGUCCUUAAUUGUCAUGAGCACGACUCUCAAAACCAUGUGCUCACAACCCACCAUUAUCCAGUUUUAGUUGGCAAAUAAUUAAUUAACCAAUCACAAGUAAUUAAUUAACCAAUCACAAUUGACCAUCGUGAGCUACCAUUAAAUAUAACCAUAAGUGAUAGUGAAACAUUAGUUAUCCCAAUUGUGUGCUAAUGUUUCUAAGCAUGGCUAAGCAAUUACCUCUAAUAUCUAGCUGAACCAAUAUAUAAAGCUCAACUAGUCAAAUUAUAAUCUCCCAAGGUAACAAGGAAUAAAGUAAUCAAGAACAAAAGGGCCAUAACAAAGAAUAGGUUAAUUCCACCCAAUGACAUUCGAAAAUAAAUGCACAGUUGAAAUAAAUAGAGAAUUUAAAUAUAGGAUCAACAUGCUCAAAGGAUUGUGUUUAGGAUCUGUGUGACUUGCCUUGCAAUAAUCGGUCUUCAAUUAAUCUUCUUGAAUACUUCCGGCGCACUCGCGAACCUUCGCAACGACGGAAACGACAAGCUAACACGCAAAACGAAGAAAAAGACUAAUAAAAACCAAAUAAACAGUACAUAAAAAGUAAACAAACAUGUAGAUCAUAAUUUUAGAUGAUUUAUGAGACUUGAACGGCCUCAUUCUGACUUCAAAUGAAUUUAUUAUGAAUUUUACAAGAUUAAAUCUAUUUAAAGCCCAUUUAAAAAGAAUUAAAUAAAUUUAAUUCAAUUUAUGGACAAUUUUAAAAUGUAGAUCUUUAUUUUACACAACUUUUGCAACUUGAACCACAUUAAACUGAGUUCAAAUGAAUUAGUUAUGAAUUUUUAAAGAUUAAAUCGGAUUAAAACACUUAUAUUGAUUUUAAUUGAAUUAUGACGCAAUAAUGAAUUAUUUUUAAAAAGGAAAAGAAGGAUUAUUGCGUCAGCGGCUAGGGUUUGCGGUGGACCGGGUGCACGGCAGCGGCUCACGGAAACGAACGGCCGAGAUCAACCCUAUCCAAAACGGACGGCCGAGAUCAAACGGUCCACGACCGGCUUACGGCGGACGAUCCCGAUGACGUCAGCGAUGACGGCAGCGAUGACGUCAGCACCGGCGGCAACUCGGGCGGCUCGGGCGCGCAUGCUCGCCGGCGAACGACGGCACGUCGGCGCGAACGGAGGGCACCAACGGGUAGAGGGCGACGCGGCGAACUCACCGGUGACCAAAACAACGGCGGAAGGGCAACGGACGGCGCCGGCGACGAGGAAGAAGCGGCGGCGGAGAAGCGGACGAGGACGGCGGCGACUUGACGACCACGAUGGCGGCGACGGCGACCGACGACGGCGGCUGCAACGGCGGCGCGACGCGGCUGAACCGACGGCAACGACGGCGGCGACUAGGGCUACGCGGAGGCGGCGCUAGACGCGACGGCAGGCUAAGGCAAAGGUGGCGGCGGAUAGAGGAGAGCUCGGGGGUCCUUUUAAAGGGGCUAGCGAGCGGCGACGGAGGCCCACGGCGACCGGCGACGGCGAAGGAAAGCUAGGGUUCGGAGGAGAGAAGAAUCCGAUUCGACCUCGAUUCCAUCGAGUUUCCAAACCGAAUUAGGUGACGAUUCCAAAAGAGAAAAGGAAGAGGGAAUCAAGAGGAUCAUUUCCCCUCUAUCAAUUCGGCCGGAGAUGGAAAGGAGCGACGGAAUUGGAAAGCGACGGCGGCGCGGCUCGGCUAGGGUUUGCGGGCGGCGGCGGCCGAAGGAGGAAGACGGCUCCGACAAGCGGGCCCCACCUGUCAGCGACAGCGAGAGAGAGAGGAGAGCGGCGGCUCGGCGGACUGGGCCGGACUGGGCCGAGGAGAGAGAGAAGAGAGGUUUUGGGCCGGCUUUCGGCCCAAAGCCAAAAGAAGACUUUUUAAAACCUUUUUCAAUUUAAAUUAUUUCUUAAAUGCAAUUCCAUUUAUUAAAAAUACUUCCUUAGCUCAAAUAAAUCCCAGAAAAAUCUAGGAAUUAUAGAAUUAAGCAAAGUAUUUAACAAAAUUUUAUCUAGCCCAAUUUUAUAUUGAGAUUUAGCAAAUUAAAAUUAGAUCUUCUCCUUUAGGCUUUUAAAAUCAUUUCUAAUUAUUCCUUUUAAACAACAAUUUAUAAUUUAAGGAUUUUAAACAAGAAAAGCUCUUAACAAUUAUAAUUAGAUCAUUAAUGAUCAAAUAAUUACUGAACUGUUCUUUGUAUUAUUUAAGAAUUGAGCUCUGAAAAAUCCGAGAAAAUUUCAGAGAGUAUAAUUAACCAUGGAGAAUCAAAUAAUUACUGAACUGUUCUUUGUAUUAUUUAAGAAUUGAGCUCUGAAAAAUCUGAGAAAAUUUCAGAGAGUAUAAUUAACCAUGGAGAAUUUAAUAAAAAUUAAAUCCAUCCAUGCUUUAUAUUUAGGAAAUUUUAUUUCCCACAUUUAACUUCACUUGUAAAUUAAAGAUCAUUUAAUAUAAAUUAUAUUAUUAAUUUAUUAAAUAAUUUAUAAAUCCUGAAACAAAAAAUCAGGAUGUGACAUGGCCUGACCGCCGGUAGAUCGCCGGUUAGACCGCCGAAACCCGGUAAACACAAAUCGAAUAACUCUUAAAGUGGAUGACGACUUUAUUGAUUCUCUCUGUGUUUACAAAGUGCACCAACAGCACUCCUUACAAAAAUUUUGACUAAACUCGAAACCCUAACUCAAAACUCAACUCAAUUGCUCUCUAAAGCGAUACCGGGAAGCCUCACGCUCCCCCUCUAUUUAUACAUGAGGUAGGCAGCCUAAAGCCACGAACCAAACUUAUACUAGGAGUCCUAAACACCUUAGGAAACCCUCUAGUACAAGAAAGAAACUUUACAUAACCAAUCGUACCAAAUUUGAACUCCUUCCAAAUUCAACUACGCAUCCUAUACGUACACAAUAACUUCAUUGUAUGCCAUAUGGAAUCUCCAUCAACCACGUGCAUCAACUAUAGCCUAAGUAUCCCGCAUGAUCUCUGACCACCACGGACGUCGUCUUAUCCCCAAGCCGACUCCCGGUCCAUCACCGCAAAUACUCUCCUGAGACAUCGAGUCACCUACACAUGGAACAAACAAAGAAACUAUAUUCCGAGACUAAGUUAUCUCCAACUUGACUCAUUAGCAGCAAACAAUAGUAUUACAUACGUAUAGUAUCCAUCUAGAAGUCAUAAUCAUGAAAUAAACUUGGAUAUCCAAAUAAACAACCCGAAACCGAAACCGAUACAGUGUCGGCCGGUCAGACCGCGGGCUGCGCCGGUCUGACCGCGCAUUACACGCCGGUCUGACCGGCUACCAGAGCCCAGUCUGACCGGUCCACAUAAAAUGAUAACCCUGCGAUUCACCUGUAAAUCCAAUCAUCUCCAAAACCACUUCGUGAAUAAAUUCCAAAUAACAAAACCAAUAAUCUCCAAUGCCCAAUUGUUCAUCACAGAAUAAUAAUCAAAAACACCUUUGAUUUUACAGAGACGUGGGUUGUCCUCCAGAUGGAGCUCUCCCUGCUGUACGACAUCAUGUACACCAAGGCUGGCGUCAUCCACACGUGGCAUGGCUACUGCAUCCGUGUCUUUUCGCCGCUGGCCACCGCCGGUGCCUUGGUGAUGUUCCAUCUCAGCCUCCACGGCGCCCUUGGGCAUGGGGCUAUGCUAGUCGACGUGGCCAUCACCUACACAUUGCUGGUUGGCGCCGUCCUUGUAGACACAUGGUGGCUGCUCAUGGCAGCCGGGUCGACCUGGGCGUACGCCUUCUUGAUCCGCAUGCCGCUGCGGGGUUGGCUGUACCACGCGGCGGUCUGCAGCGGACGAUGGCGCCAGGUCGGCCGCGCGCUCACGUGGAUCCGCUGGCUUGUCAAUGCGGAGGACAGCAGAAGGUGGUCCGGCACCAUCUGGCAGCACAACAUGUUGCAGUACUGCACACGCGACGGCUCCAAGGACGUCUGGUACGACCUUGCCAAGAAGAUACAUGUCAAGUGGCGCAAGAAAGACAACACCUACUCCGGCACCACGGUCAUUCCUGAUCGUGUCAUGGAGCAGGUGUUCAGCUAUUUGCUAGAUAUAAUAAGAAUCGACGUCGACGUACAAUAAGGAUUGCGAGAUCGAUAAUAAGGAUAAAUUAAGAUGAUCAAGAUGCAGCACCAACGGGGCAACCGGGUAUCCCAUUGGACUCGACGGGGUUGCUCAAGGCAGAAAUGUACGACUUGUUCUUGAGGUUAGUUCGCGACGAGAUCCAGCAGCAAAUCAUUAUCUGGCACAUCGCGACGGACAUCUACCUCCGCACCUCCGACAAGGCAGAGACCACCGAGUAUGUUGAAGCAAUCAAUCUUAUUUCCAACUACAUGAUGUUCCUAGUUCUGGAACGUCCCUACAUGGUACCUGGCCUUGCACUACGCACUAUUUACAGUGAAACCAUCCGAGAUAUCAACAAAAUUAGGAUCUAGUCAUCCGUCCAGAAAACACAGAGCCUUGCCAAGCAGCUGGGAGUCACCGACCGGGACCCCAGUAAGGUCUCGCUCAAUGCUCUGCCGCUUGCCCUCCUUCUAGUCAAAAAGCUCAACAAAUACGACGGGGCCAGUGUGGAAUUUCUGUUCAAGGUGUGGGUGGAGAUGCUCCACUACGUUAGCCACCGAUGCAGCAGGGAGUCCCACGCCAAGCAACUCAGCAGCGGCGGUGAGCUCGCAACGCUUGUGUGGAUUAUGGCGUAAGAUGCUCGCAAUUUUUAUAUCAGGAAAAACAAACUUAAUUAACCCGACAGUAAUUAUGGAUCUGUUUGGUUGCUGUCACUAAUUAGGCUGGCUUGUAACUCUUGUCUUGGCCAAGCUCAGCCUUGCUAGUCACAUGCAUGCAAAAAGAUUUGUUUGCUGGCUGGUAUUAGUUAGGGACAAUUGGAUAUAUGCCAUUACAAAUAUGCUCGUUUAGAUAAAUACCACUUCUAUUCGUCUAUUAAAUUCAUGUCAUUUAAAUUUGCAGAAAAAUUGAUUUGUGCCACUACCGUUAUGUUUUUCGUCAAAUCCUUUUCUUUCCUCAUCCCCCUUGUUUUCUUUUCUUCUUCUUCACAUCCCAUUGAGGACAGAAGCCUCAAAGGCCACCGGCGAGAGCUCGUGCACGUGAGCGCUGGGUGGAGCAUGACGGUCGUGGCCGCGGGUGUGAGCAAGAGGCAGCCGCAUGUGGAAAUCCAUAUUUAGUUUUAGCCGGUCCCUCAAGGUGCGCAUCGUGUUAUUACAGAUAGCUUCUUAACUAUGUUGCUCGGGUAAAUUGAAACAAUUUUCAAGGCGGUGGGCGGCUUCUUAGGCCAUUCUCAACCCAAUGACUAGGAUGAUAUCUAUAGCAUUAAAUAAACUGCCACCUAGGAUGAAAAAUGAUGUGGCAAGUGAAUAAAUGAGGAAAGAGAAUGAAACUAUGUCUUACAUGAGACAUGGUUUCUGUCACACCCUAAAAAUCCUAAAUAUAUAAAUUGUUGUUUAAUUGGAAUUAUUAUAAUUUAUUUUAAAAGCCUAGAAGAGAAGAUCUAAUUUUAAUUAAUAAAUUCCAAUAUAAAAUGGGGCCAGAUAAAAUUUCAUUAAAUACUUUGCUUAACUCUAUAAUUCCUAGAUUUUUCUGGGAUUUAUUUGAGCUAAGGAAGUAUUUUUAAUAAAUGGAAUUGCAUUUAAUGGAUAAUUUAAAUUGGAAAAGGUUUUUAAAGUCUCUUUUGGUUUUGGGCCGAAAGUCGGCCCAAAACCUUCUCUCUCUCUCUCUCCUGGCCUAAUCCGGCCCGCAGCCGAGCCGCCCGCUCGCGCGCGCGUCCACCCGCUGACAGGUGGGGCCCACCUGUCAGGGCCGUCGUCUUCCUCCGACCGCCCGAACCCUAGCACCGCGCCGCCGUCGUCUCCUUCCAAAUCCACCCGCCCCUUUCUGUUUCCGAUGAAAUUAAUAGAAGGGAAAUGAUCCCCGGGAUCCCCUCUAUCUUUUCUCUUAUGGAAUCGUCGGUUAAUUUCGUUUGGAAAUUCACGGAUUCGAUCUCGAAUCGGAUUUGUCUCUCUCUCCCGGACCCUAAUCUUUCCAUCGCGUCGCCGGUCGCCGUGGGCCUUCGCCACCGCCUCCUUGCCCCUUUAAAAGGACCCCCAAGCCCGCCGCUACCUGCCGCCACCCUUGCCUUUGCCCGCCGCUGUCGGUAGCGCCCUAGCACCGUGCAGCCGUGCGCCGCCGUCGCCGCCGUUCGUCCAGCCGUGCGCCGCCGCCGCUCCGGUCGUCGUCGUCGCUCGGGAAGGCCGCCGUCGUGAUCGCCAAGCCAUCGCCGACCUCGUCCGCCCCUCCGUCGUCGCCGUAGGCCACCGGAACACCGUCGCCGUCGUCAAGCCGAUCAUCUCCGCCGCCUUUUCCUCACCGCCGUCGCCGUCCGUUGAUCUUCCGCCGUUGUUUUGGUCACCGGUGAGUUCGCCGCGUCGCCCUCUACGUGUUGGUGUCCUCUGUUCGUGCCGCCGCGCCGUCGUUCGCCGGCAAGCAUGCACGCCCGAGCCGCCGCCGGUAGUGACAUCUCCGCUGACGUCAUCGUCGUCGUUCCCCGUGGCCUGGUCGUAGACCGUUGGAUCUUGGCCGUCCGUUUUGGAUAGGAUCGAUCUCGGCCGUUCGUUUCCGUGAGCCACCGCCGUGCACCCGGUCCACCGCGAACCCUAGCCACUGACGCAAUAAUUCCCUUUUCCUUUUCAAAAAUAAUUCAUUAUUGCGUCAUAAUUCAAUUAAAAUCUAAAUAAAUGAUUUAAUCCGAUUUAAUCUUUGAAAAUUCAUAACUAAUUCAUCUUAGCUCGGAUUUAGUUGGUUCAAGUCUCUAAAUUUUUCUAAAAUUGAGAUCUACAUGUUAAAAAUAUCCACAUGUACUGUUCAUGCUUGUUUAUGUGCUGUUUUGGUGUUUUUUCUCUUUUCUGUUUAGAUUCCGACGUUUCCGAAGAGUUCGUUUUCGCACUAGAAGAAUUUGAAGAGUUCCAAGGCCAGCAAGGCAAGUCACACAGGUCCCAAACAACCCUUUGAGCAUGUUGAUCCCGUUUAAAGCUAUUUUUUCUAUUCAACUAUUGCAUUUAUUUUCGAAUGUCAUUGGGUGGAAUUAACCUAUUGUUUGUUAUAGCCCUUUUGUUCUUGAUUACUUUAUUCCUUGAU